CAUGACAGCAGGGAAUUUCACGCAGCAAGCGAAAGUGUAUGCAUCACGCCUUGUAAGGGCCUUAUGGAGAGGGCCAUCAAUGUCCCAAAGAACAGGUGCGCAACAUGUUGCACAUAGACCCGCCCCCCAAAGACAUCUCCUGGUUAAACUGUACUUUUCCCCUAUCCCAUAAUCUAGUCCUUGACCAGCAUGGAUGUACUGUAGCUUCCGAAGCUUGAUGAUGGUUUUGGGCAGAGCCAUUAUGCAUGUACCUCUGACGUCUAGCACUUGGAGCUGUCUCAGGUUGCCCAAUAAAUCUGGCAGUAGAUCAAUACCACUACAUCCUCGUAGAGAGAGGUAUUUUAGGUGAACAAGCUUCCAAAUAUGAUCAAGCUGAUGGUAUUUUAGAUCAUCUAUAUCUUCUAAGUCGAGCACUCGUAGAAGCCUCAUCUUGUCAGAAAUGUAAAAUGGUCUGAAUUCUCCGAACACGGUUAGUGAUCGUAAUCGUGACAGAUCAACUAUUCUCUCUAACUCACUCUGAUCUCCUUUCCAGUUGCUGCUUAUUGCAAGAUGACGAAUUGCGCCAUGGGUACUCAAGCCACAUCCUUCCUCCAGUCUAAAAACAAGGUUUUCCUCCAUUGACUUUGAGAUGGCAAUGUCACGGAUGAGAUCAUGGACUUUGCAAGAGUCAAUUGAUUUUCUACUGCGAACUGAUUGUUGAAAUGGUAAAAUCAUGCUUCUGUAUUUGAGUUGUGUAAAGUAAUUUUCAGCCAUUUCAUUGGCAGACUUGCCACGCCUCUCGUGUGAGUACCCUUCUACUGUCCAUCGAUGCACCAAACGCCUCUGGCUAAUGAUGUGGUCCUCAGGAAAAAUGGAUAGAUAUAAGAAACAUGACUUGAGUUCAUAGGGUAAACCAUCAUAACUUGUCUGAAGGACGGUUCUUAUCAUCCCAAGCUCUGGAUUCAUCUCUAACUCAGCACUGAUAUUUUCAUUCAACUUUCUCCACUCAGCUCUAGUCUUUGGCCGGCUUGCCAAGUAGCCACCUAUUGUAACUAUUGCAAGGGGAAGUCCACCACACUUUUUUAGGAUUUUUUUUGUUUCUUCAAACAACUCGGGAUUCUUCUUAAUCAAAUCUGUUGCCUUCACAAGGGGAAGUCCACCAUACUUCUUCAAGUUUUGGUUUGCUUCUUCAACAAACUCUGGAUUCUGCUUAACAAAAUCUGCAGCCUUCCCAAAUACCUGAUUUUAAUGCAAUUUAAGUAUUUUAGUACUCCAAUCCAAAAAAUAAAUAAUUGUGCAUUACUUGUUGAUAUUUUGUUUGCUAGUGAUAGGCGCACAAUUGGUUGUGCACAGUGAUAAACACAUAUUGAAACAACAGUUUCCUGUGAAACUUGGUGAUAUAUAAAUUUUUUUUGUAAGUUUGGCUGAAACUUGUCCAUUAUUCUUUUAUAAAAUAUUGCUGAAAAUUCUCACAACUUCAUGAACUUUCUUGGGAGUUGCCUUUCAUAAAACUUGCCCAUUAUUCUUUUAAUUUUUUUCUGUAGUAGACCACCUUUGAUGAGAGCUGUUAGUUUCCUUUAAUCUAACAUAUAUGAAUAUGAUGAUCUGAGGUAUACGAGAUCAGUUUACAGUAGAGCUGAAGCUAUGUUUUAAGGAAAUUUCCGUAAUACUAGGGAACUACUAAGUUUCUCCUGAGUGUUUUAGAUGACUUCAACACCAGAAUUUGGUCCCGCAGUUUUAUUCCACAACUUAUGCUUUAGGGUUGAUAUGUAUAUUAGUUAAGAAAUUUAUAUGUUUUGAGGCCUCAAAAUGACAAUUGACUUUUGUUUAUACAAUAUAAUUAUAAUCAGUUUAAUGUUGAAUUAGGGCUAGUCUACCCAUAAGUUACAUUCAUGUUUUUUUAUAAUUUUCAAGUAAUAAGAGUGUAAUAAAAAUUCAACUAUUUUAUACCCGAGUAUAACACUUGAUCCUUUUGUUAGUAUGAAGCUAGAUCUAAGUUGAGUUAAUAUCUUGAAAUUGGAUAGCUGAAAAUCAGGUGGUGGAAACCCCUAAAAUGCUUGAGUGACAUAUAUGUAGUCCUAGUCCCUAAUAGUAAGGAUAAAAAAUAUACAGGGACAUUCACUCAAAGUGAAAUAUGACACACCACGUAGCAACAACUCAAAACAAAUGUAGGCUGCGUUACUUGAAAUACAUAUGACAUCAUGUUCUUUUCAUAGUAAUAUCUCAGAUUGUUAUUAUGCUAGAUUCAAAAUUUUUUAACCAUUGUAAAAAUCUCCAAGUUAUUAACAUGGCUACGAACACCCAUAGAUAUUUAAUACUUUUCUUUAGCAACGUAAUGAAGUAACGAAUACUACUACCCGAUCUGUGGACGUUCUCAGUGUUUUGGUGGGUGGGGGUAAUUAAUAGUUUUUAAAUAAUAUUAUCUUCAUAGUCAAUUGUAAAUAUAUUUUAUAAUGAAACAAAGAAAAAAUAAAAUAGAUAGUUGACAGUGCUAUUGGAAACUCCUAAUAUUGGAAAAGUCACCUAAUAUAAUAACAAAAGUACCUUCCCUUAAGAUCCUCAGAAAAAUGAGAACUAUUUUGUGGUUUCACAUGGAUAAAUGAGUAGGAAAGGGAAUUAAACAAAUAAGGACAAAAGAAAUUAAUGCAUUCUCUACUGUGUUCAACAAGAGGACAAAACAUAUUUUUUCUGUGUUCUGGUGGUGUUUGUGGUCUUGUGUUUUCUAAAAAUACUGGGAGAACGGGCAUCAUUGAUAUACUGGGAGGCAAAAAUAACGUUAUAUAUGAAUCAUGGAUGUAUAGGUCAUUAGAGGCAAUAAUUGGGAUGGCAACAGCCUGUUGAAUAUCAAUGUAUUGAUCAUCUUGGUUCAGUUGUUCAAAUGAUAAACAAAUGUCAAAAAAUUUGCAUGUUCCCAUAUGUUCUCCAUUGUCGACAGGACCAUCUUUAAUCUCUACGAAAUGCUAGACUGUUGUAGUAAUAAUGCUAUUUAAAAUCAAGCAAAAGUGACAAGGUUUCUAUUAUAUUACCUUUAAGCUGAAGAGGUUAAGUGCGUCCUCUUCUUUUAGAAUUUCAAGGUUGUGUACUAUUCCAUAUUUCCCGGAACAAUGCUUUGCAAUGCUUUCCUCCCUUGUAGUCACAAUUAUUUGGGUUGUUUUUUCCAUCCAAGAAAACCCUUGUAUUAUAUGGUCCCAUUCUUCAAUGGAUGACAGAUCGUCCAGAACAAUCAAGCAGCUCUUCUUUUCUAAAAGCCUUUUCAACUCUUUAGUCAAGCCUUGUAAUGAUUUGGUCUUGCUGGGUCUAUUGUUCAACAGUUCUUCCUUCUUAGAAGACUCUUCUUGUAAUCGCCUAACUAAACUUCUAAGUAGAUCUGCAGGAUUGAAAGGACGCAUGAUUGUGGCAAAUGCGUACUUCUCAAACAUAUCACUUAACUUUGGGCUUUGAUAAAUUCCGUUGGCUAGAGUGGUUUUUCCAAGACCACCCAUUCCCCAAACAGAGAUCACUUGACUCUGUUGGCUAGCCUUGUUUGAGAUUAAUCCUAUAAUUUUGGAUAUUUCUUUCUCUCGCCCAAUAAGUUGAGAUUCCUCCAAAGAACCAACACCUGUUUUGAUGCGAGUGAGGCUCUUUUUGUCCACCUUCGUUUCAUCAACAUCCUUACACUGAUCCUCUGUUAUCUCACUAGGGGCCACUGUUUGGGUAGUUGUAUUGGUAGUGGCCACAUCUGAGCUAGAUACUGGAUCCACGGAAACCAUUUCAUUUUGAGAACCCUGAACAAACAGAAAGUACAAUUAUUGGAAGCAACCUUUAAACUUCUUCUUGUUGUUAUUUUUUUAAGGUUAUGUGUACCUAUAACCAAAGUACUAUAUAACCUUUUAUGUAAUCAUGCAGUCAGUGACUAUUGGCCAUAAAUCAAUUUAACAAGGUAUGAAAAUUACAGAUAACAGAAAUCUGGCCUUGCUGCAGUGCUUAAGUUUUUAAUAUCUAUAAGCCGAAGUCCUAACAUAAAUGACUAAGGUCAUAGUUGAAGACACCAGGGGUAAAGGGUUAUGGUUUCAAAUGAUCCACCUCCCUCUGAAAUCCUAAAACCCACCCAGUUAUUACUCAGUAAUCUGUAGUUUACACGAUGCUCCCUAUUGAUAGAAAUAUCUUGGUGUCCUCCUAUCUAAAUAUUUAAGAGUUUAGUGGCUGUGUUUAUAUUAGCUAAUGAAGAAGCCGUAAAUUAUAACUUCUUCAUCUAAUAUUCAACGAUGAAUCCCAAGUUAUGUUUAUCCUCCCCUCAAGAGAUGCUGCGAUCAACAUAGACUACAGCAAUGAACAGAUUCAGUAUCUUUCCCCUUCAUAUAGAUUUUCAGUUAGCAAAUGUAGUGAUUUCACAAUUUUGCUAGUAUAUCCAUUCAUUAAAUCUGCUGGAAUAUCCUGUAGGAUUUAACAAGGUAUUAUUUUUCACAUUCACAGUGGGAUGUUUCUUUUCAAGCACAGAUGGGACAAUUGCUUUAGAGAUUUAUAUAAUUAAAAUAAAGCUUCAAAAUUUACAGUUAAGCAAGGAAGCUUAUAUUCCCUCCGUUUCAAAUUGUAAAUCGUUUUGGCUUUUUUAGAUACAUGAUUUUUGCUAUGCACCUAAAUGGUUAUGUCUAGAUACAUACCAAACUCUAUGUAUUUAUAAAAGUCAAAAUGACCUAUAACUUGAAACAGAGGAAUUGCUUAAAUGCUGUUGGAAAAUAAUAUAAUCCUUGAUACGCGGAUAACUGAACCAGAAUAACGAUGUCAUAGAAUGUUACUAAAAAUAAAAAUAUAAGUAUUACCUUGUCAUAGAAUGCAUAAAGCGUGUGAUCAGCAGACAAUUGCUUUAGCUCUGAGGCUUGGCUAUCUUGCCCUGCACAUAAGCUUGCAACUUCAACUUGUGUUGUUGACACUAUGAUUCGGCUUCCUUUGUUGUUGUUUGGCAGGCAUUUUUCGAUCUGGUCCCACUCUUCAAUGGUGCAGAGGUUAGUAAGCACAAUGAGAAACCUCUUCUCCUUCACAUAUCCAUCGAACUCCUGAACUAAAUCGUGCGCGGUCUUCUCUGUGUCUAAUAUAUCUUUAAAUCCUUCCACUGCAAGAAAUUGGUUCACUAAGCUCCGGACAAAGCCUUCUGAACUGAAUGGAUGAGUCACCCUCACCCAUGCUCGGCUGGGAAAUUUUCUUUGGGUGUCUGGAUUCUUGUAAGCCGCCCUGAUGAUGGAUGUUUGGCCGAUAUCACCACCUGUUCCCCACACCGCAAUGACUCUAAGGUCAUCAUCCUCCUUGUUGAUCAGUUGGACGAGAUCCACUCUCUGAUUCUCCUUUGCGGCACGCCUUGCAUCAUCAACACCGAAUAUGGCUGCAGCAAUGAUGCUUGAUUGCACAGUGGCAGCUGUGGCCUUGGAUCCAGAGCCCUUGAUGAGGCGGUACCGCACAUUCCUCUGGCUCACAUCCUCAACCUUGGCCCUGAGCUCCUUCAUCUUCUUGGCCACACGGCGCCGCUCGAGCAGCUUGCGAGGGAAUCGCCACCAAGAUGGCCUCUCCACACGGACAGCAAAAUCUUGGAGACUGUCCUCGACGUCAUAGGCCGUGUCACGGACCUGCUUCACCCAGGUCUUCACCACCUUGUUGUCGUCUCGCUCCUCGUGUGCCUCCAUCAUGAAAGACUGCAUCAUCUCAAGCUCAUCCGCGACGAACGCAUGAUCUCGCUGGAUACCGAGCUGCAAGGCUACCUCCUCUGCAAAGGCAGAUUUCGCGUAGCCGAGCGCUCCAUUCAGCACGGACUUGCCCACACUCAGUGCCGUCGCCUCCAUCGUUCUGCUGUGUUUCUCCGUGGAUCUAUACAAGGCUCAAAUUUAGAAGCUAAAACUCCGAGGCAGAAAAGGAUAGAUGGACAAGCGUUGAUGCCACCCAGCAAGAUGGCAAGUACCUGAAUUUUGGUGAACGCACAACCAAGGCAGGGGCAGAUCUAGAGGUAAAUAUGCUGCAAAAUACAUUCUUGCUGUAAAUACAAAUAAUACAAUCUGUGAGAAACUGAAGAUCUUUGAAAGUAUACCUUCUGUGGCCUAUGAGAUCUUGUGGCGUGGAAGUAAAUACAGCACUCUACUGCUUUGAUCCGGCGAGGCUCAAGCUCACGGGACGGCCCACACUCACACGCCCUGACGUGACCCGGCAAGCCAGCAAGGUUGAGGCCAAAUGGUGUGGAUGCGUGAUUCCAAGGCAGUAGGCACCGAGAUGGCGGCGCCGCCCUCGCCGACGAGCUACGCCGCCACUACUCUUGCUGUCUUGCACCCGGUCGGCCUGUCGCCGCUGACACUCUGUGGUGGCUUGGUAGUCACCAGUUACUCCUCAGAAGUACCGCAUGCUGGCUGGGAGCAGUGGACUCUAGAUACCUCUAAUGGACUUUGCAGGGUGCUUACAUGGUCAGUAGGGAUUUUGCACACGAGCACUUGUUGGGGUCGGUUAGCAGCCGCCUGCCAAUUUCCUCUACACAUUAGCAAAUAAUGUGUAGAUUUUUUCAAUCAGUUAGCAAUUCCCUCGGGAGUAGAUUUACACAUUAGCAAUUCCCUCGGGAGUAGAUUUUUUCAAUCAGUUAGAUCCAAAGCGAUUGGGUAGCAGAUGUCAGUAUGUCACAUGGGGCGGUACAUUGGCAACAAUAAGAUACUUAAAGAGCUAACUGGCCGACGAUGCUACCGAAGACUUAACUAAUUACUACUACCUUUUGGUGGACCAACCUAUACAGACACGUAACACAACUGUCCUAGAAAUAUAGUUGCGCACAAGAUAAAAUUGCAUAACCCAAGCACCUUCUACUAAGGUUGAAAUGUUCGUUAUACAAACCAUGGCCCAUGGCACACAAGCUGAGUAAACUCCAAAAGGGUUCUGCAUACAACCUAAAACAAUCUUACAACAAAGAAACAGACAAACCCAAUGGACAAUAUCCAUGUAUACUUCGUUUCAGAAAGGUGUUCCGUUUGCAUUAUGCUUUAGUGUAGCACCAGGCUAAAAUGCAGGACCGUCUUCUCGAGCUCAUCCCUGAUGAAUGCCUGGUCUCGCUGGACACCAAGCUGCAACCUGCAAGGCCACGUCCUCUGCCAAGGAAGAUUUCGCGUAGCCAAGUGCUCCAUUCAGCACAUACUUGCCCACACUCAGUGCUGUCGCGUCCGUAGCUCUGCAAGCUGUGUUUCUCCAUGUUUUUUUAGAUUAGGGAAAUAUCCGGUCUUACGCCAUCUGCCACAAGGCCUUACAUAAAGUUUCACCAAACAGAAGAUGACAGACACUAGGCCUCAAUCUUAUUCCUGGAACUCCACCCAAACUAGCUGAAGAUUUCCAUGACAGCAAUCUCCAAAUUGCGACAGCUUUCUUUCAAGGCGACCUUCUCUUCCUCGUUAGAUAGCAGCGACCAACAUAAUGUCCAGUAUAUCCCUCUAAGAUUACCUUGCAUAAGAGAGUUAGGCUUGGAUCUUUUGAGCACUACAUCAUUCCUACUUAACCAAAUAGUCCAAUAAAGACUCAAUGCACCAACUAAAAUCUGAUUUCUAAGCUUUACAGAAAAAGUUUCUAAUCCAAGAACCAUACAAAUUCGAUACAUUGGUAGGCGAUUGAAUAUCAAAUGUGAUGUAAACAGAAUUCCAAAUUGUUCUAGCCAAAUGACAGUAAAAAAAUAAAUGUUGAAUCAUCUCACUAGAGCUACAGAAGCAACACCUAAUACUGCCUUUCCAAUUUCUCUUUACCGAGUUGUGGCAGACCUGAUGCUCACCUCACACAUCUGGCCUGAUGACUCUACAAAGUGACUGAGCUGGCGCCACAGCUGCACUCUUGGCGUAUGGUCCUGGAACGAAUCCAGAUCAAGUGACUUUGCCCAUGUGAAGCACAGUCAACGUAUCGACAGGUCAAAGUGUAACAGAGAGAGGAGCUGGUUUGGACGGAUCGAUGUCCUAUAGCCUUGCGGUGGUUGGGAGCAAAGUUUCCCUUCCCCUGCAUGCAUGUACUUGAAUCCAUUAUUUUGCAAUUCACCAAGCCAAAGAUGCCCAAAGAGCUCAGUGAGGCGUUCGAUGUAGGCAAAGUACUCACACACUCUGGUGAUAAUCAUACUGCUUAUUUGAUUGAUGGUGGCCUGGGUGCUGAGUACAGUAGCAUUUAUUUUAUGUUGUGGAGUGUACUAGUUGUUGAGACAGGCUGUAAAGAUACACCAUGUUUGAUUACAUGCAAAAAAUUUUUUUUUGAGAAGGUUACACCCUGCUUUGGACAUGGUAACAAUGCAACCACUCCUCCAAGUUCCCUUUCUUCUUUUUUUAUUCUACUACACGGAGAUCGGCGCAACAUCAAGCAUGAGUAAAGAUGCACGAUCGCAGAAAGCUCCUCAUAGUCAAGUUCUAAUCAUUCAAGAAUCAAAGCAAGCAACAACAGCUUGAAACUGGCUCACCAUUUUGGACUACCAAACUCUGAACAAAUACUUCUGGACUGAAAGGAUGCAUCACCCUCACCCAUGUUCGGCCAGGAAAUUUGCUUUGGACGUCUAGGUUAUGGUAAGCCGCCCUGAUGAUGGAUGUUUGGCCGACAUCACCACAUGUCCGGGUUCAGCUACAAUUGUAGGCGACAUAAACCGGAAAAGGACAGACCGGAGGGAUUAGAGUUUUUUUUUUCCUCCUUUUUUGAGAUGGGGAUUUAAGCAUUCUUAGGACGGAGGAGAGGAGGAGAGCGUGGUGCGGCACGUGACCUCAAUUUCUGUCAUUAGCUUGAAUCGUCACUAUGAACAUGUACUAAAAAGUAAAAAUUAGCAUAAUACUCCGUAGUUGCCAAUGAGUACCCACUAGUAGAGAACUGACUUUCGAUCCACCCCCUUUUAUCCCGGUUUAAAAGUGGCCCGGGACAAAAGGGGGUGCGCCGGGGUGCGGGAAUUUGGAGGGGAGCAUUAGUCCCGGUUGGUAAUUGCAACCGGGACUAAAGGCCCCCCUUUAGUCCCGGUUGCAACGGCUAGCGGGGGGCCGUCGGUGGCGGGACCCUUUUAUCCCGGUUGGAGGAUCCAACCGGGAUAAAAGGGACACCCUUUUAUCCCGGUUGGAGGCACCAACCGGGAUAAAAGGGUUAGUCCCGGUUGGUGCCUCCAACCGGGAUAAAAGGGUGUCCCUUUUAUCCCGGUUGCAUCCUCCAACCGGGACUAACUUUCCAACCGAGACAAAAGGUUUGUCUCGGUUGGAGUUUUUAACCGGGAUUAAAACUCAUCCCCCACUAUACCCCGAGACAGAGACUUUCUUCUUCCUCCAGCCCGAGCAGUCCAGCACAUUGAUAGAGAGCUGAGCUUCACCUACUCUCCGGUGGUGCCCAAGCAAGGGAGGUGCUGCCCGAAGUUUUUUCCCUCAUUUUCGUGGGAAUUUGACUCAGCCAACAAGUGCUGCGAAGGUUUGCUACUUCAUCCUCGUGUUAUGCUUUGAUUUAUGCUUUGGAGAUGGAAAGAUUAUUUGCUACAAUGUGAUGAUGAAGUAGAAAAAUGGAGAGGUAUUUUGAGCUAGAAUGUGAGGGAGAUUGAUGUGUCAUAUAUAGUAUGCAUUAUUUCAGUGGUUUAAAAAUGAUGCUACCUUGUCUAGACGGUUUAUCUUAUCAAAUUCAAUAUGGUUUUUUAAAUCCAUAUACUUGUUGAACUUGCAUACCGUGUUCAUUUCGGCGAGAAUGUUCUCCGCCGAGCAGCAACGUAUGUCAAGAAGGAGGUUCGAUUCUACGAGAAAGAGUGAAUACGGACAUCGUGACCGUGUCCCCUUUUCCGUAGCAUCUAACCUCUUUCAUGACGAAGUGCGGUGCCGCCUAGCUGAGGACAUCCUCGCGAAAUGAACACGGUCUUCAAGUUCAACAACUUCUGUAGUGGUAAGGAAAGAAUUUUUGUACAUAGAUGACUUCUGCUACUUGUUGAACUUGCAUACCGUGUUCAUCUCGCCGAGGAUGUUCUCCGCCGAGCAGCAACGUAUGUCAAGAAGGAGGUUCGAUUCUACGAGAAAGAGUGGAUACGGACAUCGUGACCGUGUCCCCUUUUCCGUAGCAUCUAACCUCUUUAAUGACGAAGUGCGGUGCCGCCCAGUUGAGGACAUCCUCGCGAGAUGAUCACGGUCUUCAAGUUGAACAACUUAUGCAGUGUUUGGGACUUUAAUUUAAAUAUGUGUAUUUGGAUCUUCAUGUUGUUGUAUUGUACCAUGUUGUUUGGAUCUUUAAUCGAUUUUCACGCGUAAUCCAUUGUCAAGUGUAAUCCAUUUUCGUGCGUAAUACGAUGCAGAUGGACCGGCAUUGGAUGUAUAAUGCAGACAGGCGGAGCAAGGUGUUUAUUGAUGGCUUGCAUUAUUUUCUCGAAGUGGCAAAAGCGAACAAGCCAGAGAAUGGGUUCGUAUGUUGUCCAUGCUUCCAAUGCAAUAACAGGAAGGAGUAUUCAAAGGAUUCCUGGGGGAUUAUUCACAGCCACUUGUUUAAAUACGGUUUCAUGCCUAACUAUUUGGUUUGGACCAAGCACGGUGAACUAGGGGUUGUAAUGGAAGAUGGCGAGGAGGAGGAGGAAGAUGACACCAUUCCGGACUGGGUUGCAGGCCAAGCUUUUGCAGGUACUACAAUGGGCGAGGCUGAUGAAGAUGAGUUUGCAGAAAAUGACCCUACUGAUGACCUUGGUCAGGUGAUACGAGAUGCAUACAGAGAUUGCGACACUGAGAAGGAAGCAGCAAAGUUGCAGCGCAUGAUAGAUGAUCACCAAAAAUUGUUGUACCCAGGUUGCCAGCAGGGCCAUAAAAAACUAGGUACGACACUAGAAUUUGUGCAAUGGAAGGCAAAAAAUGGUGUGUCCGAUAAGGCAUUUCAGGGGAUGUUGAGAAUUGUCAAGAAGAUUCUCCCCGAGAAUAAUGAAUUACCGUCCACAACAUAUGAAGCUAAACAGAUUAUUUGCCCUCUCGGAUUGGAUGUUCAGAAGAUACACGCAUGCCCUAAUGACUGUAUCCUCUAUCGUGGUGAUGAAUACGAGGAAUUGGAUGCUUGUCCCGUCUGCGAAGCCCUGCGGUAUAAGAUCAGGCGAGAUGAUCCUGGUGAUGUCGAGGGGCAGUCUCCCAAGAAGAGAGUUCCCGCGAAGGUGAUGUGGUAUUUCCCUAUAAUACCACGCUUGAAGCGCUUGUUCAGGAACAAGACGAAUGCUAAGUUGAUGCGAUGGCACAAAGAAGACCGUAAGGAAGAUGAGAUGCUGAGACACCCCGCAGAUGGGGCACAGUGGAGAUCAAUUGAUAGAACAUUCCCAGACUUUGAAAGUGAAGCAAGGAACAUAAGGUUUGGUUUAAGCACUGAUGGAUUCAAUCCAUUCGGUGAGUUGAGUAGUGGUCAUAGUACUUGGCCUGUGACCCUUUGUAUGUUCAACCUUCCUCCUUGGCUGUGCAUGAAGCGGAAGUUCAUUAUGAUGCCGGUGCUUAUCCAAGGCCCAAAACAACCCGGCAACGACAUUGACGUGUACCUAAGGCCGUUGGUUGAUGACCUUUUACAGCUCUGGAAGGAAGAAGGUGUAUGUGUGUGGGAUGAGGAUAGACAAGAGAUCUUUAAUCUACGAGCACUGUUGUUCGUAACCAUCAACGAUUGGCCUGCAUUGAGUAACCUUUCAGGACAGACAAAUAAGGGAUAUCGGGCAUGCACCCACUGUUUAGAUGACACAGAUAGCAUGUACUUGAAGCACUGUAAGAAGGUCGUCUAUAUGGGUCAUCGUCGAUUUCUCCCUGCUCACCACCAGCUGAGAAAGAGCGGGAUGCAUUUCAAAGGGACGCCAGACCAUCGUAAAAACCUGCACACCGUAAUGGAAAACGUGUGUUCGAGAUGAUGAAGGAUGUACAUGUAGUCUUUGGAAAGGGACUUGGUAGCCAACCUGUUCCGAACGAUGAUAACGGACAUGCACCCAUGUGGAAGAAAAAGUCAAUAUUUUGGGAGCUACCUUAUUGGGAAAUCCUAGAGGUUCGCAACGCAAUAGACGUGAUGCACCUGACGAAGAAUCUUUGCGUGAACGUGCUAGGCUUCAUGGGUGUUUAUGGAACCUCAAAAGAUACAUUGGAAGCAAGACAGGACCUGAAAGCCAUGGGGCAACGAGAUGACCUACAUCCGGAAAAGAGAGAUAAUGGACAGCACUACUUACGUCCUGCCAGUUACACUCUCAGCAAGGAGGAGAAGGAUAGCAUGUUUGAAUGCUUGAAUAGUAUGAAGGUCCCGUCUGGGUACUCCUCGAAUAUAAAGGGAAUAAUAAAUAUGAAACAAAAGAAGUUUACAAAUCUCAAGGCUCAUGACUGCCACAUGUUAAUGACCCAGUUGCUUCCGGUUGCACUGAGGGGUGUUCUACCCGAAAAUGUCCGGUUGCCGCUCGUAAAGCUAUGCGCAUUUCUCAAUGCGAUUUCGCAGAAGGCAAUCGAUCCAUCCAAGCUAUCAAAGCUACAGAACGAUGUGGUGCAGUGUCUUGUCAGUUUUGAGUUGUUAUUUCCACCAUCCUUCUUCAAUAUUAUGACGCACUUACUGGUUCACCUAGUAAAAGAGAUUGGUAUUCUCGGACCUGUAUACCUGCACAAUAUGUGGCCUUUCAAGAGGUUCAUGGCAGUCCUAAAAAACUAUGUUCGUAAUCGUGCUCGUCCAGAAGGAAGCAUCGCCAGGGGAUAUGGAACAGAGGAGGUGAUCGAGUUUUGUGUUGAUUUUAUUGAUUCAAUUGACUCGAUUGGGGUUCCAACUUCACGCCACGAGGGGAGGCUCCGAGGAAUGGGCACCCUUGGAAGGAAAUCAAGUUUGAGCAAUGAUACUAAUUUGUUCGACAAGGCACACUACACUGUUCUACAACAGUCAUCCUUUGUGUCUCCGUAUAUCGAGCAGCACAGGCAGAUGGUAGCUUCCAAAAACCCGACCAAAUCCGAUGCUUGGCUUACCCGUCAUCACAUGGAAACUUUUCCCUCCUGGUUGCGCCAACAACUUAUGGGUAACUCUGAGAUUCACCCACAGCUUGCUUGGUUAGCCAGGGGACCUGCUACCACAAUCGUCAAAUUCCAAGGCUAUGAGAUAAAUGGUUACACAUUUUACACGAGAGCCCAGGACCAGAAAAGCACGAACCAGAAUAGUGGUGUCCGCAUAGAUGCCAUGGACAGAAAUAAUAGCAAGGAGUCGUAUUAUGGUUUCAUACAGGAGAUAUGGGAACUCGAAUACGGACCGCUGUACAUCCCUCUAUUUCUUUGCAAUUGGGUGAAGCUAACUGCCGUCACCAAAGAUCAGUACGGAAUGACAAUAGUAGAUCUGAGCAAGACUGGAUACAGUGAUGACCCAUUCGUACUUGCCAAUGAUGUGCAUCAGGUGUUCUAUGUGAAGGACAUGUGCAGCAAACCCAAGAGGAAUGCAGAAGAGACAUGGGAGCCAAAGUGCCACAUAGUUCUUCCAGGUAAAAGAAAAAUCGUGGGAGUCGAGGAUAAAACAGACCAAUCAGAUGAUUAUGAUCAGUUUGAUGGCAUGCCUCCAUUCGACGUUGAAGUUGAUCCAAGCAUCCUGCUGUCCAAAGAGGAGGCUCCGUACUUACGCCGCGAUCAUGAUCAAGGAACUUUCAUGAAGAAGAAAUUUUACAACGUUGUAUUGUAAUGCGUUAAAUGUGCAUGACCUUUGUGUAUUAAUUGAUACAAUUUGUAAUUUACCCUAUGUAUGAUUUCAUGUGUUAUUAAAUUUGUUAGGUGAAGAUUUUUUAGAUAUACAUGAACAUUGUUAACCACAUACUAACAUGGAUUUUUCUGCGCAUUCAAAUAAUUUAAUUGAAUAAUUUAUUGAUCACAGCAAUGCAGUAAAAUAAAUAUUUUACAGGCUACAUGAGUUGGUAUAGAAAUAAUGAUUACUUCAUACUUAUUGUCAAUUUACUCGUUAAUUAAAUAUAUUUUUGCAUGUACAAAAUCUGAGAAGGUUUUGUUUUUCAUCCUGGAAUGCAGUGAAAAGGUUAAAUAAAAUCCAUUUCCAAAAAACAGGCGGGAGAAGAAAAAUAGGAAAAAGGACCUUUUGUCCCGGGUGCUAACAGCAACCGGGACAAAAGGCCCCCCUUUUAUCCCGGUUGCAAACGGCAACCGGGAUAAAAGGGUACGUUUCGUCUCCCGCCCGAACGUACCCUUUUAUCCCGGUUGCCAUUUGCAACCGGGACAAAAGGCCCCCCUUUUAUCCCGGUUGGUGACGGGACCCGGGAUAAAAGGGUGCGCUCCCAGCCCCACCUGGCGGGGGCACCCUUUUGUCCCGGGUCCCGUUACCAACCGGGAUAAAAGGGGGGGGGGCCUUUUGUCCCGGUUGGUAACGGGACCCGAGAUAAAAGGGUGCCCCCGCCAGGUGGGGCUGGGAGCGCACCCUUUUAUCCCGGGUCCCGUCACCAACCGGGAUAAAAGGGGGGGGCCUUUUGUCCCGGUUGGUGACGGGACCCGGGACAAAAGGCUCUUUUGUCCCGGGUGCCAUUACGAACCGGGAUAAAACGGGGGGGGGGGGGGGGGGUUUAAAAGCACUGUACUCCCUUCUACCCCCCGCCAGUUCCACACUUAGCGAAAUUUUCGCAAGUCCCGCGCUCUCCGCCCGUCGCCGCCUGUCCGCCUCCCUCGCCGGCCGCCGCCGUCGUCGUCCCCCAUUGCGCCGUCGAAGUCCCGCAUUGCACCGUCGUCGUCGCCCGUCCGCCUCCCUCGCCCGUCGCCGCCCGUCCGCCUCCCUCUCCGCCCGUCGCCGCCCGUCCGCCUCCCUCGCCGGCUGCAUCGCCCCUCGUCGCCGGCUCCAUCCUCGUCGCCCCUCGUCGCCCCUCGCCGGCCGCCGUCGUCGUCUUCGCCUCGGCCGCCGUCGUCCCGCCGUCGUCGUCUUCGUCCUCGUCGCCGCCCCGGCCGCCGCUGUCCCGCACGCCGCCCGGCCGCCGCCGUCCCGCCGUCACGCCGCCCCGGCCGCCGCCGUCAGGCCGCCCCGGCCGCCGCCGUCCCGCCGCCCCGGCCGCCGCCCCGCGCGCGAGAGGUCUGCCGCGCCGGCCGGUGCGCCGGGAGAGCUGGCCGUUUUCUUUUAAUUUUUAAUUUUGUUUUUUUUAGAUGGAAUUGUAAUUUUGUUAAGUUAGAUUUUUAGAUUUCUAAUUUUGUUAAGUUAGAUUUUUAGAUUUCUAGUUAGUUUGUUAAGUUAGAUUUGUAGUUAGGUUGUUAACUACCGUCCCGCCGUCGUGAUCGCCGCCGUCCCGCCGAGUAGCUACCGUGAGAGUCGCCUUGUAGCCGUCGUGAUCGCCGCCGUCCUGCCGCCCAUCAGAACGUAGUAGCUUAGGCACCGCCCGUGGUUCCGGUGAACCGCCUCCGCCGCCCUGACCGCCGCCGUCCCGCCUUCGCCGCCCUUAUCGCCGUCGUAGAAAUUCGUAGAAAUUCGUCAAAAUUCGUAGAAAUUCGUCAAAAUUCGUAGAAAUUCGUCAAAAUUCGUAGAAAUUCGUCAAAAUUCGUAGAAAUUCGUCAAAAUUCGUAGAAAUUCGUCAAAAUUCGUAGAAAUUCGUCAAAAUUCGUAGAAAUUCGUAGAAAUUUGUAGAAAUUCAUAGAAAAUCGUAAAAAUUUGUAGAAAUUCAUAGAAAUUCGUAGAAAUUUGUAUAAAUUCAUAGAAAUUCAUAGAAAUUCGUAGAAAUUUGUAUAAAUUCAUAGAAAUUCAUAGAAAUUCAUAGAAAUUCAUAGAAAUUCAUAGAAAUUUGUAUAAAUUCAUAGAAAUUUGUAUAAAUUCAUAGAAAUUUGUAUAAAGAUUCCGGACUUUGUACGAUUCAUGUUAUUUUAUGAUUUCAUUAUAUACAUGUAUGAUUCUGAACUGUGAUUAUAUACAAAUUUGUAUUAAGACGAUUUCUAUGACUGUCAUGUAUGAUUCCAUGUAUGUUUGCAGCAAUAGUUGAAAUGGCAGACGAUGAGACCGCAAGGUAUAUCAUGGAGCAGAUAAUCGCUGGUGAUGGUAGUGGCGACAACGUUCCACUAUCAUACACGGAUGAAGAGGGCACCCAGGCGGACAUGUUCCUCAACAUGUCUGCCGAUGUGAAUGAAGAGCAACAGCCGCAGCAACAACUUGCCGUGGCGGAAGGUUCCGGCGAGGUAUAUACAACCAUUCUUGUAUUGUUUCACGCCACCGCUACUAGUACGUACUAAUUAACGAAUCUUAAACUGUUAGCCCUCCGGAUCGACACAAGGGCAGAAGACCCGAGGUCGUACAAAGGUGAUGGAAGGGAGGCUUGUCAUCACCGAAGUUACAGAUGAGGGCAGGCCGGUUGCUCCCGAGAAAGUCGCAAAGAAGUACGUUGGUCAAAUCGGGGCAAUCGUCCGGGACAACGUGCCUAUCAGCAUCAGAGAAUGGAAGGGCAGAAGCGAUAAUCCGUACGCCCUUCCAGAGACAGAAAAGAAUAUGCUGUGGGAAGACGUGAAGAGGCAUUUCACAUUCCCCGAAGAUUAUAGCGAGAAGGAUGUCAAAGCGUGGACACUUAAGAAGAUGGCUACUCAAUUCCAGACAUUCAAGAAGAUGCUGGACACCCACUACAUCAUGAAGGGCAAAACUCCAGACUUCAACGCGUGGCCCAAGUUGAGGGACCACUGGGAUGCAUUUGUUGAAUACAAGAGGAGUGAAGAAGGUGUGAAAAAGAUCACGACCAACGUUGCAAAUGCUAGUCAGAAGGGCUACCACCAUCAUUUGGGGCGAGGUGGGUAUGGCUCAGCAAUUCCCAAGUGGAGAAAGAUGGAACAAGAUCUGAUCGAACGGGGAAUCAUACCUGCAACUAUUGAAUGGCCCGAACGAUCAAAGAACUGGUACUACGCUCAUGGAGGCUCCCUAAGCUAAGAGGAUGGGACGCUGAUUUUCAAUGACAGAAUACGUGAGAAGGCCGAACAUCUCAUGAAGAACAUUGAAGAUUCCAAGGCUGGGAGGUUGAGGGUGGACCGAGAAAAUGAUGAGCUCACAUUGGCCCUCGGUAAUCCAGAGCACCCAGGACGUUGCCGGGGGUUCGGGGUGGUUCCGUGGAAGUUCGCUUUCUGAGGCGACAGCGCCUCUUACAGAAGCCGGAAGCGAAGAAAGGAACAGAUGGAGGAGAGCUGGCGGCAGAUGCUAGAACAACGAAUGAUGGAUGAAAUCAAUCGGCGGGUGGCCGACGCAGUUGCGGAGUUGGCGCAAUCUGGAGCACUGCCGAAUCCUCACACCGCCAGCCCUUCUCAAUGCCUCGGGAGCAGUUGUGCUUCUACAGGGGUCCCCAAUGCGCAGACGCCCAGGUUACCCGUGGAGGAGCAACGGUUCCCCGUGGAUGCCAUCACGCAACGGACCUCAUGUGAGCUGCAUGCACCGGUCGGCAACCUCACUAUUAAGGUAUACUUAUACAUAAUAUUUAUGCAAUCUUGUCAAUUGAUCCAGGCCUCGAGAUCGGAGUUCAACUUGUUUACUUCUGCUAUAUGUAUAGGUAGCGUACGGGAGUGCGUUACCAACGCUGGCAGGGCAGAGCAGUCAUGGCAUGGACAUUCCAACAGGCUACGCCAGCGUCUGCGUCGAGCAAAUAGUAGAUGCCCAGUAUGAAGGUCUAGAGCUCGACUUCCCGGGAGGCGACGGGGAAAAGACAUUGGCAGAUGCGCUUCAUGGGAUCAUUCUAUGGAAGAAACGCUACAUCAUUAUUUCCCGCACGGAGCCAUCUCCUCAGACCUCAAGACCGCUCCCCGUAGAUCCCGAGCAGCGAUCUUCUCCUCAUACCUCGAGACCGGCAUCUCCUGCUCCAGGACCGUCGCUUCCAUCUAUAUCAAGGUCUCCAUCUCCACCACAUCCUGGUGCUGGGAGCGACGACGACAAUAACAACACCCCUCCCCGAUCACCGUCGCCGGCACCAAGAGCGGCCCCCUCGAAGGAACCUGCAGCACCACUCAAGAAGUCACGAGCACCGCCUCCCAAGCAAAGAUAGCCUCGAAAGAAGAAAACAAAGGUCGACCCUGAAGUGGCUCGCAAGGAACACUUUGAGGCAAUGUCUCAUGCGGAACAGUGGGCAGAAAUCCAACGAGAGGCCAGUGAGUGGUUCAAGAAACAAGCCGAAUUAAAAAAGGCAAGGGAGAUGGAGCCACCGCCAGUAAGUCGGCGGGAUUUAAACUUUUUUAUCAGGAUGGAGGAAGGAGCCAAGAAAAGGAUACCACUCUUGUCAAACUAUGAACGGGCUCUAGUAAAGGCUGAUGAAAAGGAUAAAAGAAAAGGAAAAUCAUCCUCCAGCGGUUCAGUCCCCGACCUCAGCCAUUUAUCAAAGAAAGAUGCUCAACGGGUAAAAGCAAUGCCCUUGGAUCAACAAGAAAAUAUAUUGAAGUUCAUGGAAGAAACAGGUCUGGGACUUGAUGAAUGCAUAGGGCAAGUCGAGAUGCCAACUGCACCGCCCCCUGAGCCGAGAUGGCCUUAUGAGCUAGGCAAGCCUCUAGUGAAGCCGGCAAUGGUACGGAAGCUGUCAACAAAGAUGUACGAAUUCCAUCAAUGGUACAUGACGGCAUCCGCCAAAUCGAGGGAGAUGAUCGGCAUGAAGGUAAAACCGAUAGAUUUUCACGGUGAAGGGGAGAAAGUGCUGUGGCUAGACUUCAAGGAUAUAUACGAAGUGUACCAUCAUGAUGCCCUGGACGUCUCUCUGAUCAACGCUUGGAUUCUGUAAGUGUCCGUUUAUUAUCUCUACAUGUAAAUUUUGGCGUGCGUCACCGUACUAACUUCAUCUUCCAUUUCAUGUAGGAUGCUAAUUCAGACAUGCCGCCGAGAGGCGUACCUACAUGUAGGCUUCAUGGAUCCAUCUGUAGUUAACCAACAACAGAUACAAUUAGCGCCGGAAAAAACCUUUGCCGAAAUAUACAAUUUCCUACACAAACAAACAUUCAAGGACUUCAUACUACUUCCAUACAACUUCAAGUAAGUGUGUGUAUACCGUCUACUUUCGAUGUCUUUUUCCUUAUCUCUACAUGUUAGUUAGCUCUAAUAUGCAUGAACAUUUUACGCACGCAGCUUCCACUGGAUCCUUAUUAUAAUUGAGCCUGAAAGAAGCCACGUCACUGUCUUUGAUUCAUUACGGAAAGAUCCGGUGGACUACCAAGAAUUGCAAGACAUGCUAGGCUUGUAAUAAUUCUGGACCUUUAUCUCUAUGCAAAAAUUUAUUUCCUAAAUUUUAUCCCUGUUACACUAUGUCAUUCAUUAUUCUAAUCCGCAGCGUAUGGAAACAAUUCAUAAGGACACACAAAGGUCCAUUCAAAGAAGAUCUUACAUGGAACACAGACUUCCCGGUACGUAUGAAGUCUGCACAUUUAUUACAUUGUAUAACACGAAUAUUUCAUAACUUAUUUUUUUUCCGCACUGAAGUGCUUAAGACAGGAACCCGGGAAUAACCUAUGUGGCUACUACAUCUGUGAGCACAUGCACAGUUUUUUGGGACCCAAGGGACCGAAGAUGACGCCGCACAACUUUAAAGUACGUAAAAUAAAUAUAUUACUAGUUAAUUAUUUUCUAGCUCCUUAUAUGUAUUUGUUCAUGUAACAUUCACAAAUUUCCAAAUUAUAGAUGUUAAAUAUUCAACAAGGACUCUUGAAGGAAGAAAGAGUAGCGGCAAUAUGUGAAGGUCUCAUUGGAUUCAUAAUGGACGAGGUGGUAAAUCCAAGAGGAGAAUUUUAUUACGAUGGACGACAAUUAGACACUCCUCUCAGCAACACCACGACGGGAAGAUCGUAGGAAGAUACUUUGAUUUAUUUGUAUAUAUGAUCGAUUUGUACUAAUUAAGCUAGUUGAAUUGUGUAUAUGAAUUGUGUAUAAGGAUUGUGUAUAUAUAUAGUAGUUGUAUAAUUACAAAUCCCAUUCGUUUAAAUACUAGUUGAUUUAAUUCAUUCUAAAAAAAUCUCAACUACAAGGUUAACAAAUUAAAAGGGCCGCGGUACUACUAUACGUAUACGUGAUGCAUGCAUGAAAAAUUCAGGCGUCACCAGUGCCAUGCAAGCGCAAUUUAGUCCCGGUUGGAAUUGAGCCGGGACUAAAGGGGACCCCUUUAGUCCCGGUUGGUAAAUCCAACCGGGACUAAAGGGCCUGUCCCGCGCCUGGCGUGGCAGGCCCUUUAGUCCCGGUUGGUGACACCAACCGGGACUAAAGGGGGUCCUUUACUCCCGGUUAAAAUACCCGGGACUAAAGACCCCCCCCUUUUGUCCCGGUUGGUUUAUCCCGGAUGGAUAUCCGAGAGAUAUGACCCUUACCAACCGGGACUAAUGCUCAGUUUUCUACCAGUGACCGGACUCAACUACACAAACUGCUUUCAUACGACACAAAUCAACUAGAAGGCUCUUGCUCCGGCAUACCAGCCAUCCUGAUAGAGCUUCUGGUCACCUACGGAUGUCGGAGACGAUACUUUUAAAAAGUAUUGUUGUGUAUUGGUGAAUCUUUCUUGCCGUUGGCAAAUUACAUGCCUUUGCAGAUCACGUAAGUAUGGUCAUUUGGUCCAACAUGCAACAACCACAGCAACAGCUAGCUGCUUACUCAAUCUAGUCAUUAGUCAAGAUCACAGUAAAAACGCACUCUGAUCCAUCCGUAGCUACAAUGGCAUCAGCAGGAACAGGAAGCAGCUAAGGUAUAUUCCAAAUCCUUUGGAAGGUGACGAAGGUAUUAGCAUGACCACCCCCCUCCGCCGGUGACCAUCCCGGUCCCGGCGUCCACCCCGCCCCGCCGGUGGUCACCCCGACCCCGGCGUACACCUAGUCCCGCCGGUGACCACCCCGGUCCCGGCGUCCACCCCGCUACGCCGGUCACCAUCAUAGUCCCGGCGUUCACUCUGCUCCGUCGGCUCCCUCUCCGGCUCAGGAGACGCUGAUCAUCACCCCAGUUCCGGCGUCAACACCUCUACGUCGGUAUCAUUGCUUGAUCCGGUGCCCACACCCUGUGUAUGGAUCACUGGCGCAGACCUUUGUUCGUGAGUGCAUCCUUUGAAGCUUCCAUCCGGACAACAGCACAGGAGGAAGGUAUCUUCGCAGCUUGACUUGGAAGAGGUUACCCUCUUAACAUCCUACUACAUCUCUUUGCUCUCCGCGUUUGAUCUUAGAUAUGGAUCAUACAAAAUUCAACUUUAGCCUGGGAGAAGACUUUAGUCGGCUGGUUAUGAAUAAGAUUGGUACUCAGGUUACUCUGGAUGAAACAAAAGCAGGAAAUGGUUUUCACCUGCUGGUGGUGUUUAGCAGAAACAGAUUUCGAUUAUCUGCAGAAACAGUAAACACUUGUCUUAACUCUAUUUUGGGAGGAAAAAAGGAAUCAUUCAUGGCAGAAGAAUUAGAAGAACAAAUCUUCAAAUUCAAGGUUUCAUCAAGAGAGGUUGGAUUUCUGAUAGUUAAUCAAGGUCUAGUUCUCUGUGAUCUAUUCAAGCUCUCAUUCUUCCUGCUGAAUGAUGAUGGAUUUGCCAAGGCAUUGAAAUUUGCAAAACAGGAUUCUGGACCUUUGUAUUAUUGGCAAUCUGCUAAAAAAAAAGAAAUCCACGUUGUUGUCCCAGGUACAACAUCCUUACUCUCAUCUUUUAUCUGGAGCCAAUUUAACUCCCCUGGGUUUUAGAGGUCAUGAAUCCAGAAAUAUUGCCACUAGGCUUAAACGCCCUGUUUCUUAUGCUGACAUGGUUAGAAACCACCCCAAAACCUUUCCUGGGGAAAAAGUUUCUCUUCAUAAUAGAGAGAUUUCCUCUGGUAGCCCCUCUUCCCAUAUAGUGCAAAGGGAAAAAUUCUAUCCUGCACCUAGGAAAUCUGUCUUUCAAAGAAUGCAAAACUUGCCUAGACAGUCAGUUUUCGAAAGAUUACAAAUCCCAAGAAAGGCUGCACCCAGAUUUGAACCUUGGCAUUGGAAUAGGAGCAAGAGACAGAAAAUCUCUGAUCCAAGAUAUCCCAGAUACCCCAGGGCUAACAUCUCGGAAUAUGUUCAUGCUUGGACUGAAAAAGACCAGCUCCCAUCUGCCAACCGCUCAAGGAGGUUCUCACCUCAUUGGCUGACUUGUUGGCACUGUAAUCAAGUAGGACACAACUUCCAAACCUGCUCUAGGAGGUUAAGCCUUCAAAAAUUUACGGCAGCUUUUGCCUCGAGGCCUGGCAGUAGCUUUUCCUCGGUAAUUGACGAAAACGGUUGGCCAAGGGAUAUUGGGCUGCGUUGGUUUAAAGCAGGCCAAAAAAUGUCUACUGGGAUAGCCCAAGAAAGCCCACCGGGCACUAUUCCCCUAAAAAAUUUGGGGAAAAUUGAGUGGAGAAUACGAGGAGACACUCCUUCUCCUUCCUCCUCGUUGCCACACAGUACUCCACAGCAACAGCCUGACCCAAAUCAAGAACUCCUCCAUCCUUCCCUUGCCGAGGAUAGAGAGCAAGAACACUCCGCCACCAGCAUGGCCUUCCUAAAUGUGGAUCCAGAACCACUUAUGUUCCCUGGCUUCAAUCGAGUCUUGGUUCAAGGACGACCCAAGUUCACCAGGGUGGUCACUCCAAGAAGCUCUCCGGCGAAUGAAGAUCUUGCGAUCGUCACUGUUUCAAACUUCCCCCCUGGUGAGAUUCCAUUCAAUGCUGUUCAACAAGCUAUAGUUGGGUUGAUUGAGGAUGAUUAUGAGCUUCGUAUCAAAGAAAUCCAAAGAAGCCCUUUUCACAGAACACAAGCUUUUGUCAGACUUAAUAGAGUCACUAAUAGAGAUGCUCUAGUGCAGCAUAGUCCACUUCAAAGCAAUGGUCUUUCAUUUGUUUUUGUCAGGCAUAAUAGAGGCCCCAAUGCCAGGAGAGUGCUAUUCAAUAGAGAAUGUUGGCUACUCUUGAUUGGUUUUCCAAUAGAUUCUAGAGAUAUUGAGGACAUCCGAGAUGCUAUAAAAUCUUUUGAGAGAUUGAUUUGUUGGCAGAAAGACAAUGUCAUGGCUAGGGUGGUUGUUAAAGUCAGAGUCACAGAACUGGAAGAUAUACCACACUACCUGGUUUUUUCAGAGGGGGACGACUUUGAAGGAAUUUCAACCACUGUUCAAGUAGAAAUCAUGCAGCAAAACAUGCUUGGAGGGCAGCUACCAGAUGAAGACAUUCCCCCUCCAGGCUAUGAUGAUGAUUUUGUGUUUCCAGGGCUACAGGCACAUAAUGCAAAUGACAACCAUCAGAUGCCCCAGCAACAAAUCCAAGUUCAGCAAAAUCCACCUAUGGAUGCACAGAUGCAUAAUCAUCAGCAACAGGUAGCUCUCCCAGACUUGAAUGAUGAUCCAGAAGAAGAGGAUCAUAUACAAGAACAAAUGCAGCAACUCAUGGAGGACUUGGAAAAUCAAGCACCAGAACAGAUGGAACUGCAACAGGAUCAGCAGCAAGAAGUUAUGGAUCUCCAGCUUAGUUUGUCCUUAUCUUUACCACCCAACUCGAGCAACAGCAUAGAGGGAGGAAGAAAAGGCUCAGAGAAAAGUGUCGAAGGAACAUCACACCAGCAAGGACAUUUGAAUGAACAACCUGAGAUAGUGUUGGGACUUCCCGCCAUAAUCAAUAUGAAUAUUCAAGGGGAACAGCAUAUGGGCCCACAACAUGGAGAAGAGAAUGUUGGAGCAAAUUUCUUCCUACCAGACUUUCUUAACCCCAUCCAACUUAACUAGGAAGAGGGGGAAGAACAAGGGGCUCAGAUCAACAUGAACAUUGAUGUCAACAUGCUCAUCACCCAAACAGACUACAAUAAUAGGAUGGACCCAGGAUGGGCUGCAAGGGUUGGCAAAGCAAAGGUAGACAAGGCAGAAAACCCAGACUGGCAACACAUCUGGGCACAUCUCUUCCCCACCAACGACACUCCUAAACAGGUGACAACAAUACCUGCUGAUUGGGCACCCUUUUUCAUUAAUAAGCUCUCUACACCUUCUAGAUUUGAUUGGGCCAGAGCCUUUCUUACAUCAAAUGCUAUUGCUCUCUUGUCUUCAAGUGCUACAAAUCUCAAUAUGAUAUCCUUCCAAUUACCAAUGGCUUGCUCUCAACAUGAUCUACCUAAAUGUUCCCUGUCAGAACUCAAAGAUAAUGAAUCUAAUGAGGAUUCUCCUGCUGAUAACCCCUGUCAACAGAAAAAAAUGAGAAGAGAAGAGCCUCAAGUGGAGAUACAAGCUCGGCGCAGUCCAAGAAUUCGACUACGCAAUGCCGGCUUCAAACACUCCAACUGUACCUCCAAGAAAUGUCUUGCAUGUGCUACAGUCCCACCCACCCUAUCAAGUAAAGCUAUGAUGACGGUUGGAACAGAUCAUUGCAAGAUCAGUAAAGAAAAGCUGACUGAGGAGGCGCUCAAAACAAAGAAACAGAAGCAGGCACCAAUUGGGGCAGGAAGAUCUGCUGAAUCAAGGAACAAGGACUCCAUAGAGGAGGGGGAAGGAUCCACAGUCUGAAGAAGAAGCUAUCAAGCUUUUUGGACCAUCUGACAGCUUUUGUCUUUGUCAAAUGCUAGCAAUUUGUAACAGAACUCGAAGGGUCAGGAGUGGAGACUUUUGUAUCUUCCUAAACUUUAUGUCGUUAUUUUGUGAUCAUAGUGAUCGGCAGACCAGGAAAACAAGGGUGGUAACAGUUUUUGUGAUGGAAAAGACAAUCCUUAACAUGGCAACAUUCUAUGAUAACCUUGCUUGUUGGUUUUUUCAAUCUUUUUGUACCUUGCUAGAUGGGAUUCUUUUGUCAGCCUCUACAAUAGGUUUCCUAGAGGUUUUAUUUACGAAAUUCUGGCCUCUGCCUCAAUGACCGAACAUCUUUAACUCUUAUCAUGAAUCUAAUGAAUCGCUCACAAGGGAAAAAGGAGUGGAAGAUCUUGUCUUGGAAUAUUAGAGGAAUAAAUUCAGAUGCAAAAUGGAAUGCAAUCAGGAGCAAAAUCAUAGAAGCAAGGUGUGAUGUGGUAUGUCUACAGGAAACAAAAAGGGAUUCUUUUGACCAGGCUUACAUCAAAAAAUUUUGUCCCCCCCAGCUGAAUGAGUUCUUCUAUAACCCAUCUGUUGGGUCCUCAGGGGGAUCUAUCAUCAUCUGGAAUAACUUGAAAUUUGAUGGUGUUCUGGAAUUUCAAAACUCUUAUGCACAGUCUAUUCUCCUCACUUGUAAAGGGACAGGGGAAUCCUGGUACUUGUCAAAUAUCUAUGCACCUUGCACUACUGAAGGAAAACGAGAAUUCAUACAAUGGUUCAAAGCAGUGGAGAUGGGAGAAGAAGACAAAUGGCUAGUAGUAGGCGAUUUCAAUCUCAUAAGAAGACCAGAAGACAGGAAUAAGCCUGGAGCCAACUGUCAGGAGAUGUUAGCCUUUAAUAACGCAAUAAGCAAGCUAAGAUUGGUAGAACUACCUCUAAAGGGGUGCAGAUUCACGUGGACAAAUAAGCAACAUAACCCCUUGCUGGAAAGAUUGGAUUGGUUUUUCACCUCAAAAGCUUGGACGACCUGCUUGCCCAAUUCCUUUGCAAUAGGACUUUCUAGAGAUAUCUCAGAUCACACGCCAUGUGUGAUAACAGCCCAAACAAGCAUGCCACAAUCAUCCUCCUUCAGGUUUGAGAAUUAUUGGUUACAACAUGAAAGUUUUCUGCCUAUUUUACAGCAUGCAUGGAGCCUACAAUCCCCACAAGAGGACCAGGCUAUGAAGAUUAUUGGAAAACUUAAAAAGCUAAGAAGGAUCCUCAAAAUGUGGAAAUCGCACUUACCAAGUCUAGAGAAAACUAUACAGAACAACAAAUCAACUCUACAAUUCAUGGACCUAAUAGAGGAGUCAAGAGAUCUCAGUAUAGAAGAAUGGAACUUUAGACAUUUGGUGGAACAGAAUUUGGAACAGCUACUUCUUCAGCAGAGAACUUACUGGAAGCAAAGGGGGAAGGUUAGAUGGAUAAAAAUGGGGGAUGAAUGCACAAGAUUUUUCCAUGCACAUGCAUCUAUCAAGAAAAGAAGAAAUACAAUAACCCAUCUAAGAGAUGAAGGGGGUACUCAAACAACUCAACAUGAAGCUAAAGCUGACAUACUAUGGAAAUCCUUUAAAGAAAGGUUAGGGGUAUCAGAAUACACACACAUGUAUUUCCAGCUACAAGACUUAUUCCAACAGGAGGAUAACCUGGACAUUCUGGAUGAACCAUUUUCAAAGGAAGAAAUAGAUAAGGUAAUCACAGAACUUCCAAACGAUAAGUCGCCUGGGCCGGACGGAUUCAAUGGAGAAUUUAUCAAAAAAAGCUGGCAGGUUAUAGCAGAAGAUUUUUACAAACUUUUCCAAGACUUCUAUGACAAUAACAUUUGCCUACGAAGUAUCAACUCCUCAUAUAUUACCCUCAUCCCUAAGAAAGAAAGCCCGAUGGAUGUGGGAGACUACAGACCCAUUUCGUUGCUUAACUCGUCUCUUAAAAUAAUUACCAAGCUUCUGGCGAUAAGAUUACAACAAGUGAUCAAGAAUAUGAUACAUCAGAACCAAUAUGGCUUCAUUAAAUCCAGGAGCAUUCAAGACUGUUUAGCAUGGGCCUAUGAGUACUUACACAUCUGUAAUAAAUCAAAAAGGGAACUGAUCAUCCUCAAAUUAGACUUUGAAAAAGCGUUUGAUAAAAUUGAACACAAGGCCAUUAUAGAAGUUUUGAAGCACAAAGGGUUUGGGCCCAGAUGGUUAAAUUGGAUCCAAGAUAUCUUAGCAACAGGAACAUCUUCGGUUCUACUAAAUGGAGUCCCAGGGAAAGUAAUCCACUGCAAAAGAGGAGUUCGGCAAGGAGACCCACUGUCUCCACUUUUAUUUGUCCUGGCAGCUGAUCUUCUUCAAACCAUAGUAAACCAUGAAAAAGACUUAGGCAGUCUCAACCUUCCCAUUCCUCAGGGAGCAGGGACAGACUUCCCCAUAGUCCAAUAUGCUGAUGAUACACUGCUAUUCAUGGAAGCCUGCCCCAGACAGCUUUUGAAGUUGAAAGAAAUCCUGCACAUAUUUGCUCUGUCGACUGGGCUCAAGGUUAAUCACGGAAAAUCGACAAUGAUGUCGCUGAACAUCACAAAUGACAGAUUAGCCAGCCUAGCACAGAUCUUUGAAUGUCAACACAGUUCAUUGCCUUUCACAUAUUUAGGCUUGCCUCUGGGAACGACCAAGCCAAACAUGGAGCAUUUCAUGCCUCUCCUACAACGAAUUGAAAGGAGGCUAAAUUCCAUGUCCAUGUUCUUAAGUCAAGGGGGAAAACUAGAAAUGGUCAACUCAGUUUUGUCCUCAUCAGCUGUGUUUUAUAUCUCUACCAUCAGACUUCACAAAGGGGUGAUAAAACAGAUUGAUAAGUUUAGAAAGCACUGUUUAUGGAAUGGAGCAGAUCCAAGCUCCAAAAAACCUUCAAAAGCAGCAUGGCCAAUAGUAUGUACACCCAAGGAUUGUGGGGGCCUGGGAGUUAUCAAUAUUUAUGCACACAAUGAAGCCCUCCUUAUGAAGUUUCUACACAAAUUCUAUACAGAAGCAGAUACACCAUGGGUCAACUUGAUCUGGAACAGCUAUUAUCACAAUGACACACUACCUGGAACACAGUCCAAAGGAUCCUUCUGGUGGAGGGAUGUCCUUAAGUCGCUCGACAAAUACAAGGGCAUAGCCUCGGCUACGAUAGCAGAUGGCUCAACAGUCUUCUUCUGGCAUGAUCUCUGGAAUGGAAUAAUACCAAGUCAGACUUACCCAGAGUUGUUCUCCUUUGUCAAAGAAACUAACAACACGUACAAGACAGUAUAUGGAAGGACCAACUUCAUACAAAACUUCAGCCUUCCCCUCUCUGCCGAGGCACAUAGGCAAUACUUGGAUUUGCAACAAUUUAUUGAGAGAAUCAUACCAAUAGCAAACAGAGAUGUCUGGUCAUACACAUGGGGAACAACGAAAUACUCAUCACAGAAAGCAUAUAAAACAAUCAUUGGCCACCGUAUUGUUCAUCCAAGCUUCAAAUGGUUAUGGAGGUCAAAAUGUCAAAAAAAAACACAAAUUAUUCUUCUGGCUACUUCUCAGAGACCGACUAAACACAAGAGACCUUUUAGACCGAAGACACAUGCAGCUCGAGUCACAAACUUGUGAGAUGUGCAUUUGGCAGAAAAGAGAAACAGUUAAACACCUUUUCUUCUGCUGCAGAUUUGCCAAAGCUUGUUGGAACAGUAUAGGGAUAACAUAUACCUCCACAAGGACGAUUCAGAAUAUUAUCUUACAAAUUAAAAACAAGCUACAGGUUCCCUUCUAUAUGGAAAUCAUCAUUUUGAUAGCUUGGAGCAUAUGGACAACAAGGAAUGGAUGGUUUUUCAACAAUUUGGCUCCAUCUCCUGGGGUUUGCUUGCAAAAAUUCACGUCGGAAUUCAAAGACAUUUUACUAAGAGUAAAGCCAAGAUAUUUGCAACAAAUGGAAAUUUGGCUCCAUCUGUUCGCCGUUCAUUAGCAAGGGCUCUUUGUUUUGUUUUCGUUACCGGUACUCUUGCCUACCUUCCUUUGCUUUCUAGGUCUCUCUUUCUUUAUUUUGUUUAUUCCUUUUUUUUUACCUGUUCUAUUUCUAUUUCUCUUUGUUGACUCUUUUGAACUUGUAAUGCUUCAUUUCUAAUUUAAUAUAACCAGUAAGGGGCCCGCACCCUUCCUGUUUUCUCAAAAAAAAAUCAACUAGAAGCCGGCCGGAAUCCCAAUGGAGAUGAAAUGAUGCUAAGCCUUCCUUCUUCGUCUGGUGGAGUUCAGGACGCGUCGGCUACUCGGCUGUAUUUGCGUGAAGCAAAAUACCAUUUUGGGCAAGGGCCGAAAAUGUCCGCAACAUGGCAUCUGAAGCCCGUGGGCCCACCACGAGCUUGUAGUUCUCAAGCAUCAAGCCACCAUUUCUUUGUGGCAACUACUCAUCGCACUUCAUGGGGAUCAAGCGACAAAUCUAUUGGCAAAACCUCAGUAGGUGAACGAGCUGGAUAUAUAUACCCACGCUUGGGAUUCAUGCCUUAUAGUGGUAAUAGAAUCUCCUGAUCAACGCAGAAAAAUGCAAAAGGAACAAAAUUUGGCCAUUUGAUUGGUUUGAAUAGCUAUUGGGAUUUGCAGCCAUACACAAAUAGCACCACUUGAUUCAUCGUGGGGAAGAAACAUCUUCAUAAAAAAUUCAUAAAAAUCCAUUAUGAUAUAUAUGUACUAGGGCAUAAUAAGUUUAAGCGAGCAAGCCAUCAAGCUUAAUUACGUGCUACAGUACUGUAUCAAGCACGUACGAAAGAUCUCAUACGAAUCAACGAAUAAGAUAGAUAGAUAGAUGUCAGAGGCAUAGUACUAAUAAUAGGAUUAUCUAUGAUAUUAAGUACCCUUGUCUUCCUCGCCAAAAAAAAAAGGAAACUUAUCAUAGAAUGCAUAAACACCAGUGGAAAACUCGGUAUUCGUCCCGAGACUUAGUACUGGGUGGUUUUUGAACCGGUACUAAUACUCAGCAUUAGUAUCGAGUCUAACGGCUAGUUCCUAGGAGCCCCCCUGACCCCCUUUAGUACGGUUGGGGGCUUCAACCGUACUAAAGGUCACCCAUUAGUACCGGGUGGAGUCUCCACCCGGUACUAAUGGGUGACCUUUAGUACCGGUUGGAGUCCCCAACCGGUACUAACUUCGCUCCUAUAAAUCAAGCGUCUUCUUUCUCCUGCUCGAGCCAUUUCCUCCAGUUCAAGCUUCAUCCAUUCAUGGCGAAAUAGGGGAGGUGCUGCCAGAUUUUUGACCAUUUCAUGGGGAUUUCACUCAUUCAAGUGUUCUAAAGGUUAGAAACUUCAUCCUCCCUUCAUACAUGGUUAGUAUACUAAGUUUUAUGCUUUAGAGCUAGAGUAAUCUGUGACUUUUAGAAUAAGGUAUAAUGGAGAAAUUUUUUAUUUAUAUGCAUGUGUUAUUUAGAGCUCAUAUUUGUGAUUUUUAGAAUAAGCUAUAAUUUUUUAGAUGCUAUGUUGUGUAUUAGUCAAAAAAUUAAUAUGAGGUUAGAGGAAUAAUUUCAUAGUUUAGUAUUUUACAAAUAUGAGCUAAAUAAAUUAUGGGAAAAAAUAUAAUUUGUUUGUAUUUUAGUUAUUUGCAAAUAUGAGCGAGAUAAAUUGUGGUACAUAGAGAUAAUAGGAUAAAAUAGAGGUAUGUAAUUAGUUAUUUUUAGAAUAAGCUACAAUUGAGAAAGUUUUUAUUUAUAUGUUAUGUUUGAGCUAAAUAAUUUGUGGGGAAAAAAUAAUUUGUUCAUAGUUUAGUCAUUUGCAGAUGAGCUAAAUAAAUUGUUGUACUUAGAGAUGGCUACUGCUACUGGUGGUAGUGCCGAUGGUGGGGAUGAUCAUUGUUCCUCUCGCGGCAAGGGGAAAAUCAUAGUUGGCCCUCAUGAUAAGCCUAAGAAAAUGAGCACGUGGGAGAGAGCAAUGCUUUGUUAUUUGGAAAGAUGUCAUGAAGAUGCUAUUGCGGUGGGUGAGGAACCUCCUUUUGGUGGUCGUUAUGCUCCACCGCCAGUCCCGGGUGUUUCAAGUCCACUGAGUACUACGGUCGUAGGAGGCACAAAUAAACCACACAAUGAGGCUGGGUCACUGAAACCUUCGUCUUCGCCGCCUAGGGAUGCUUAAAGUCCUCCCAGAUAGUACUCAGUUGAUGGUUUGUUAUAGUGUAUUAUGUUGUUUGGGUUUGAAAUUUAAAUGUGUGUAUUUCUGUCUAAAAUUUCAGCAACAUUUGAAUUUAAUGGUAUUUGUAUCAUAUUUGUAUCAUAUUUGUUAUGCUUCAUGUAUAAUUCUAUGGAUGAUCAGAAUAUCUUUGGUUCGGUAAUACUUUGUAGGUAGAUCGGCAAUGGAUGUACAACACGGAUAAAUGCUCCAUGGAGUAUAUUAAUGGUUUGCGUGGUUUUCUCGAUCUGGCAGAGUUCAACAAGUUGUCAUAUGGUUUCAUUUAUUUUCCAUGCUGAAUUUGCAAAAAUGAGAAGGAUUACUCAUCCAGACUAUUUACACCCACAUAUAUAGUUUGGGGUUGAUGCCUAACUAUUUUGUUUGGACCAAGCACGGGAAAGAGGAGUUAUGAUGAAGAUGAUGAUGAUGAAGAAGAUGAUAACUACAUUCCUAACUGGACUCAAGGAGGUACCUUUGCAGAUGCUGCAAUGGGCGAGGCUGAAGAAGAGAUGAUUGCAGAAGAAUAUCCUACCGAUGAUUUAGGUCAGGUGUUGUGACAUGCAAAGGAAGACUGCGAGAAUGUGAAGGAGUCAAAGAAGUUCGAGCGUAUGUUAGAUGAUCAUGAGAAAUUGUUGUACCCAGAUUGCAAACAUGGGCAUAACAAGUUGGGUACCACACUAGAAAUGGUGCAAUGGAAGAUAAAAAAUGGAGUUUCUGACAAGGGUUUUGAUGAGUUAAUAAAAAUUAUAAAGAACAUGCUUCCCAAGGGGAACGAAUUGCCAUUCUCAACGUACAAAAUGAAAAAGUAGCUUCUCCUAAUUCUGUGAAGUGAUUCUCCAUCCUAAUUUUUAAAGUUUCGACAAAAACCAAUCUAAUAUUUUGCAUCUUUUCUUUUCUUCUUUUGCCUUAACUUUUCCAAUCCCAAUCUGCUAUUCUUCCUUCAUCUCGACGACGUUUGAAGGUGUUCUAGGUGGCCUGCCGGCCCUAUAACAACCCUACAUGCGCCUGCCCUGACAGGAUCCCUCUCGGGCGAGUGUUCAUCGAUCUACCGUCGGUCUUCCCGACAACCGGUCAGACCGGUCGUUGUAACCGGUCAGAUUGGCCUGCACCGAGGUGCUGCAGUGAGCCCCUCCGCGAGCUACACGAUCAUGUGCGUUCAUGUGUUGGCCUAAAAAAGCGUCAACACAAACUAUGAUAAUCUGCAAUUGUAUGCUAACAACAAAAGGAAAUCAACUUUGGCCACUCAUUUAUAAACAAGUGUUUGGAUGGGCCAUAAAAAUAAUUAAUAUCAAUGGAUUCUUGUCACGUAAAAACAUCUUCAUAUAACACCAGAAAGUAAAGUAGAAACAGGUUGGAGGGUUCAUUCGUAACCAUCCGCAGGCACCCCUUGCGGGAGUAGUAGGAGCACCCGGGAAGGGCGGCAUGGACACUGGUACGCACGUACCAAAUUGAGAACCCACCUGGCCACCUGGGCCGCUGAUCUUCAGCCUUGCACGAAUGAUCGAUCCUGCCACAAAGGAUGUCCUUGUGUUCUUGUGUAUCUAUAUUCUAUAUAAAGAGGUUACAGAUCAGAGUUGCUCAAAAUGGCAGAAAUACAGACCUGCACGAGACUCAGUCCACCACCCUCACAAUGGGUUGGUUUGGAUUCCGAGCAAGCUGUUCCUGGAUUUUCUUCUUCAGUUCACCUUUCUUGCGCCUAGCUUCCUCGUUGAUGGUUAUUAUUUCUCCACGCCAGUACAUAUAAACAUCGAGCUGGACUUCGUUGAUGCUUUGGAGAAUAUCUAGCCCAGAAAAGCAAAUCUCAUUAUUUGCAACCCCUGUGACCUGCAGCCACUCAAGUUUGGGCAUUGCUCCUUGCUCAAACUUUACCGAUUUGACCUUGCUUAUUACUCCAAAACUGAGCACCCUGAGGCUUCCAAAAGCUAUUCCAGCCUGCGAUGAUUUGAAAUCAAGUUCUUCACCCUGAAGCAAUGACCAGUGCCAAGACAGAACUAGAAUUUCCAGCUUCGCUAGGUUCCCAAGGAAUUCCAUAGCAGCAUCGUGCUCCAAUAGCCUGGUCCUCGCUAGUUUCAACUUCACGAGAUGCGGGAGCUCCUUGAUCCAUUCCGGCAACGUUUCCAGAUUGCCGUAGAGCUUGAGGCUCUGCAGGUUUUCCGGAGGGGAGGAUAUUCCAUCCAAGCAGCCACGCAAACCUCGCUUCCCUGCUGAACGCACCGACAGCGAUUCCAGCCUGCUGAGAUUGGAAACAGCGGCACGAAAAGCCGGGCCAUUCUUCCUGUUGAUGCCGGUGACUCCUAACUUGCGCAAUCCAGUGAGCCUUUUGAUGUCCUGUAGAACGGCAUUUCCCCUUCCAACAUUCACUUCCCUCAAUGUGUGCAACUCUUUCAGUUUUCUGGUCCCCCAUGGCACCGUAACGCUUCUUUCUUCAUCAACCCCCAUCAUGACAGCAGGGAAUUUCACGCAGCAAGCGAAAGUGCAUGCAUCACGCCUUGUGAGGGCCUUAUGGAGAGGGCCAUGAAUGUCCCCAAGAAGUGGUACGCAACAUGUUGCACAUUGACCCGCCCCCCAAAGACACCUUCUCGUUAAACUGUCCUUUGCCUCUGUUACAUAAUCUGUUCUCCGACCAGCGUGGAUGUACUGUAGCUUCCAAAGCUUGAUGAUGGUUUUGGGCAGAGCCCUUACCCGUGUACCUCUGACGUCUAGCACUUGGAGCUGUCUCAGGUUGCCCAAUGAAUCUGGCAGUAGAUCAAUACGAAAACAUCCUCGUAGAGAAAGGUAUUUGAGUUGAAUAAGCUUCCAAAUAUGAUCAAGCUGAUGGUAUUUUAGAUCAUCUAUAUCUUCUAAGUCGAGCACUCGUAGAAGCCUCAUCUUGUCAGAAAUGUAAAAUGGUCUGAAUUCUCCGAACACGGUUAGUGAUCGUAAUCGUGACAGAUCAACUAUUCUCUCUAACUCACUCUGAUCUCCUUUCCAGUUGCUGCUUAUUGCAAGAUGACGAAUUGCGCCUAGGGUACUCAAGCCACAUCCUUCCUCCAGUCUAAAAACAAGGUUUUCCUCCAUUGACUUUGAGAUGGCAAUGUCACGGAUGAGAUCAUGGACUUUGCAAGAGUCAAUUGAUUUUCUACUGCGAACUGAUUGUUGAAAUGGUAAAAUCAUGCUUCUGUAUUUGAGUUGUGUAAAGUAAUUUUCAGCCAUUUCAUUGGCAGACUUGCCACGCCUCUCGUGUGAGUACCCUUCUGCUGUCCAUCGAUGCACCAAACGCCUCUGGCUAAUGAUGUGGUCCUCAGGAAAAAUGGACAGAUAUAAGAAACAUGACUUGAGUUCAUAGGGUAAACCAUCAUAACUUGUCUGAAGGACGGUUCUUAUCAUCCCAAGCUCUGGAUUCAUCUCUAACUCAGCACUGAUAUUUUCAUUCAACUUUCUCCACUCAGCUCUAGUCUUUGGCCGGCUUGCCAAGUAGCCACCUAUUGUAACUAUUGCAAGGGGAAGUCCACCACACUUCUUUAGGAUUUUUUUUGUUUCUUCAAACAACUCAGGAUUCUUCUUAAUCAAAUCUGUUGCCUUCACAAGGGGAAGUCCACCAUACUUCUUCAAGUUUUGGUUUGCUUCUUCAACGAACUCUGGAUUCUGCUUAACAAAAUCUGCAGCCUUCCCAAAUACCUAAUUUUAAUGCAAUUUAAGUAUUUUAGUACUCUAAUCCAGAAAAUAAAUAAUUGUGCAUUACUUGUUGAUAUUUUGUUUGCUAGUGAUAGGCGCACGAUUGGUUGUGCACAGUGAUAAACACAUAUUGAAACAACAGUUUUCGUGUGAAACUUGGUGAUAUAUAAAUUUUUUUUGUAAGUUUGGCUGAAACUUGUCCAUUAUUCUUUUAUAAAAUAUUGCUGAAAAUUCCCACAACUUCACGAACUUUCUUGGGAGUUGCCUUUCAUAAAACGUGCCCAUUAUUCUUUUAAUUUUUUUCUGUAGUAGACCAUCUGUGAUGAGAGCUGUUAGUUUCCUUUAAUCUAACAUAUAUGAAUAUGAUGAUCUGAGGUAUACGAGAUCGGUUUACAGUAGAGUUGAAGCUAUGUUUUAAGGAAAUUUCCUAAAUACUAGGGAACUACUAAGUUUCACCUUAGUGUUUUAGAUGGCUUCAACACCAGAAUUUGGUCCCAGAGUUUUAUACCAACACUUAUGCUUUAGGGGUUAUAUGGAUAUAAGUUAAGAAAUUUAUAUGUUUUGAGGCCUCAAGAUGACAACUGACUUUUGUUUAUACCAUAUAAUUAUAAUCAGUUUAAUUUUGAAUUAGGGCUACUCUACCCAUAAGUUACAUUCGCGUUUUUUUAUAAUUUUCAAGUAAUAAGAGUGUAAUAAAAAUUCAACUAUUAGAUACCUGAAUAUAACACUUGAUCCUUUUGUUAGUAUGAAGUUAGAUCUAAGUUGAGUUAAUAUCUUGAAAUUGGAUAGCUGAAAAUAUAGUCCUAGUCCUAAUAGUAAGGAUAAAAAAUGCUUGAGUGACAUAUAUAUAGUCCUAGUCGUAAUAUUAAGGAUAAAAAAUAUACAAGGACAUUCACUCAAAGUGAAAUAUGACACACCACGUAGCAACAACUCAAAACAAAUGUAGGCUGCGCUACUUGAAAAUAAUUUAAUAUACAUAUGACAUCAUGUUCUUCUCAAAUUGUUAUUAUGCUAGAUUCAAAAAAUUUUAACCAUUGUAAAAAUCCCCAAGUUAUUAACAUUGCUGCAAAGACCCAUAGAAAUUUAAUACUUUAGCAACCAAAUGAAGCAAUGAAUACUACUACACGAUCCGUGGAUGUUUUCAGUGUUUUAGUUGGUGGGGGUAAUUAAUAGUUUUUAAAUAAUAUUAUCUUCAUAGUCAAUUGUAAAUACUUUUCAUUAAUGAAACAAACAAAAAAUAAAAAAGAUAGUUGACAGUGCUAUUGGAAACUCCUAAUAUUGGAAAAGUCACUUAAUAUAAUGACAAAAGUACCUUCCCUUAAGAUCCUAACAUAAAUGAGAACUAUUUUGUUGUUUCACAUGGAUAAAUGACUAUGAAAGGGAAUUAAACAAAUAAGGACAAAAGAAAUUAAAGCAUUCUCUACCGUGUUCAACAAGAGGACAAAACACAUUUUUGCUGUGUUCUGGUGGUGUUUGUGGUCUUGUUUUCUAAAAGGGAGAAUGUGCAUCAUUGAUAUACUGGGAGGUCAAAAUUACGUUAUAUCUGAAUCAUGGAUGUAUAGGUGAUUAGCGGCAAUAAUUGGGAUGGCAACAGCCUGUUGAAUAUCAAUGUAUUGAUCAUCUUGGUUCAGUUGUUCAAAUGAUAAACAAAUGUCAAACAAUUUGCAUGUUCCCAUAUGUUCCCUGUUGUUGACAGGACCAUCUUUAAUCUCUACGAAAUGCUAGACUGUUGUAGUAAUAAUGCUAUUUAAAAUCAAGCAAAAGUGACAAGGUUUCUAUUAUAUUACCUUUAAGCUGAAGAGGUUAAGUGCGUCCUCUUCUUUUAGAACUUCAAGGUUGUGUAUUAUUCCAUAUUUCCUGGAACAAUGUUUUGCAAUGCUUUCCUCCCUUGUAGUCACAAUUAUUCGGGAUGUUUUUUCCAUCCAAGAAAACCCUUGUAUUAUAUGGUCCCAUUCUUCAAUGGAUGAUAGAUCGUCCAGAACAAUCAAGCAGCUCUUCUUUUCUAAAAGCCUUUUCAACUCUUUAGUCAAGGCUUCAACCUCCAUCAUUGCUAAUGAUUCGGUCCUUUUGGGUCUAUUGUUCAACAGUUCUUCCUUCUUAGAAGACUCUUCUUGUAAUCGCCCGACUAAACUUCUAAGUAGAUCUGCAGGAUUGAAAGGACGCAUGAUUGUGACAAAAGCAUGCUUCUCAAACAUGUCACUUAACUUUGGGCUUUGAUAAAUGCCAUUGGCUAGAGUGGUUUUUCCAAGACCACCCAUUCCCCAAACAGAGAUCACCUGACUCUGUUGGCUAGCCUUGUUUGAGAUUAAUCCUAUAAUUUUGAAUAUUUCUUUCUCUCGACCAAUCAGUUGAGAUUCCUCCAAAGAACCAACACCCGUUCUGAUGCGAGUGAGGCUCUUUUUGUCCACCUUCGUUUCAUCAACAUCCUUACACUGAUUCUCUGUUAUCUCACUAGGGGCCACUGUUUGGGCAUUUGUACUGGUAGUGGCCACAUCUGAGUUAGAUACUAGAUCCAUAGAAACCAUUUCAUUUUGAGAACCCUGAACAAACAGAAAGUACAAUUAUUGGAAGCAACCUUUAAACUUCAUCUUCUUUUUAUUUUUUAAGGUUAUGUGUACCUAUAACAAAAGUACUAUAUAACCUUUUAUGUAAUCAUGCAGUGAGUGACUAUUGGUCAUAAAUCAAUUUAACAAGGUAUGAAAAUUACAGAUAACAAAAAUCUGGCCUCGCUGCGGUGCUUAAGUUUUUAAUAUCUAUAAGCCGAAGUCCUAACAUAAAUGACUAAGGUCAUAGUUGAAGACAUCAGGGGUAAAGGGUAAUGGUUUCAAAUGAUCCACCUCCAUCUGAAAUCAUAAAACCCAUCCAGUUAUUACUCAGUAAUAUGUAGUUUAAACGACGCUCCCUAUUGAUAGAAAUAUCUUGGUGUCCUCCUAUCUAAAUAUUUAAGAGUUUAGUGGCUGUGUUUAUAUUAGCUGUUGAAGAAGCCGUAAAUUAUAACUUCUUCAUCUAAUAUUCAACGAUGAAUCCCAAGUUAUGUUUAUCCUCCCCUCAAGAGAUGCUGCGAUCAACAUAGACUACAGCAAUGAACAGAUUCAGUAUCUUUCCCCUUCAUAUAGAUUUUCAGUUAGCAAAUGCAGUGAUUUCACAAUUUUUCUAGUAUAUCCAUUCAUUAAAUCUGCUGGAAUAUCCAUCUAAGAUUUAACAAGGUAUUAUUUUUCACAUUGACAGUGGGAUGUUGCUUUUCAAGCACAGAUGGGACAAUUGCUUUCGAGAUUUAUAUAAUUAAAAUAAAGCUUCAAAAUUUACAGUUAAGCAAGGAAGCUUAUAUUCCCUCCGUUUCAAAAUUUACAGUUAAGCAAGGAAGCUUAUAUUGCUUUAGAGAUUUUUGCUAUGCACCUAAAGGGUUAUGCCUAGAUACAUACCAAACUCUAUGUAUUUAUAAAAGCCAAAACGACCUAUAAUUUGAAACAGAGGAAGUACUUCAUUACACUGCAACUGCUUAAAUGCUGUUGGAAAAUAAUAUAAUCCUUGAUACGUGGAUAACUGAACCAGAAUAACGAUGUCACAGAAUGUUACUAAAAAUAAAAAUAUAAGUAUUACCUUGUCAUAGAAUGCAUAAAGCGUGUGAUCAGCAGACAAUUGCUUUAGCUCUGAGGCUUGGCUAUCUUGCCCUGCACAUAAGCUUGCAACUUCAACUUGUGUUGUUGACACUAUGAUUCGGCUUCCUUUGUUGUUGUUUGGCAGGCAUUUUUCGAUCUGGUCCCACUCUUCAAUGGUGCAGAGGUCAGUAAGUACAAUGAGAAACCUCUUCUCCUUCACAUAUCCAUCGAACUCCUGAACUAAAUUGCGCGCGGUUUUCUCUAUGUCCAAUAUAUCUUUAAAUCCUUCCAAUGCAAGAAAUUGGUUCACUAAGCUCUGGACAAAGCCUUUUGAACUGAAUGGAUGAGUCACCCUCACCCAUGCUCGGCUGGGAAAUUUGCUUUGGGUGUCUGGAUUCUUGUAAGCCGCCCUGAUGAUGGACGUUUGGCCGAUAUCUCCACCUGUUCCCCACACCGCAAUGACUCUAAGGUCAUCACCCUCCUUGUUGAUCAGUUGGACGAGAUCCACUCUCUGACUCUCCUCCUUUGCGGCACGCCUUGCAUCAUCAACACCGAAUAUGGCUGCAGCAAUGAUGCUUGAUUGCUCAGUGGCAGCUGUGGCCUUGGAUCCGGAGCCCUUGAUGAGGCGGUACCGAACAUUCCUCUGGCUCACAUCCUCAACCUUGGCCCUGAGCUCCUUCAUCUUCUUGGCCACACGGCGCCGCUCGAGCAGCGUGCGAGGGAAUCGCCACCAAGAUGGCCUCUCCACACGGACAGCAAAAUCUUGGAGACUGUCCUCGACGUCAUAGGCCGUGUCACGGACCUGCUUCACCCAGGUCUUCACCACCUUGUUGUCGCCUCGCUCCUCGUGUGCCUCCAUCAGGAAAGACUGCAUCAUCUCAAGCUCAUCCGAGACGAACGCAUGAUCUCGCUGGAUACCGAGCUGCAAGGCUACCUCCUCUGCGAAGGCAGAUUUCGCGUAGCCGACCGCUCCAUUCAGCACGGACUUGCCCACACUCAGCGCCGUCGCCUCCAUCGUUCUGCUGUGUUUCUCCGUGGAUCUAUACAAGGCUCAAAUUUAGAAGCUAAAACUCCGAGGCAGAAAAGGAUAGAUGGACAGGCGUUGAUGCCACCCAGUAAGAUGGCAAGUACCUGAAUUUUGGUGAACGCACAACCAAGGCAGGGGCAGAUCUAGAGGUAAAUAUGCUGCAAAAUACAUUCUUGCUGUAAUGACAAAUAAUACUCAACUGAACAGUACAAUCUGUGAGAAACUGAAGAUCUUUGAAAGUAUACCUUCUGUGGCCUAUGAGAUCUUGUGGCGUGGAAGUAAAUACAGCACUCUACUGCUUUGAUCCGGCGAGGCUCAAGGUCACGGGACGGCCCACACACGCACGCCCUGACGUGACCCGGCAAGCCAGCAAGGUUGAGGCCAAAUGGUGGAAGCGUGAUUCCAAGGCAGUAGGCACCGAGAUGGCGGUGCCGCCCUCGCCGACGAGCUAUGCGGCCACUACUCUUGCACCCGGUCGGCCUGUCGCCGCUCACACUCUGUGGUGUCUUGGUAGUCACCAGUCACUCCCUCGGGGUCAAAUUACUAUUUGUUUUAGCUAACGAAUAGUAAUUUGGGGUGGAGGGGGUAGAUUUUUUCAUUCAGUUACAUCCAAAGCGAUUGGGUAGCAACCAUAAUAUACUUAACCUACAUGGGGCGGUACAUUGGCAACAAUGAGAUACUUAACGAACCAACUACCCUAGUUCCUAACAUAAGCUGGUGAGGAGUCAAUGUGAUCCGCCAUAUUCUAUGUUCAACUUUAUCAGUAGGUGUAAGAACCAUAUUAUAUUUCAUUCAGUCCAUUCACGUCUUUUCGUUGGUUUGCCAAACAAAUCCCAAGAAAUACGAUCCAUAUGUCCUACCACCAAGAUCUCCAACACAUACAAUUUCUAAAAGAGAAAAGGUGCGUCGAUUAGGUUGAUCGGUGUAACCAUCCAGGCACAAAUUGACAAAAGUUCGAGGCCUUUCAUCAGCCCCCUUUUUUGUGCCCAACUGCCGGUCGCCAAAUGCCGAACACGUCAAGAAGACUCACCAAAUUUUGUGGUGGAUUUUCAGCGGCAAAGCUUCCUGUGAGAGGUACAUGAGGGAAAGCGACGUGAAUUCGUUGAACACUUCACGGGUGCUGAUGCUGUCUAUCGGAUGAGCAUGUGGAAUAAGAACAAAGUAGUGUGGAUAAGAGCUGAGGUGGUGAUAAGCUCUUGGCAUCUGCAUCUCAAGCACAAAAGUUUAGAUGAAACUUAGCUAAACAGGACCUUGAAAUGGAUGAUACUUGGUACCAUACUAUUUUGAAAUUCAGGAAAACAAGACGGAACGCUUUGCUGGACAUCUUCCGUACAACGCUUGUGUGCUCUUUGAGCCCCUCCAACGAAUCCGGUCAUGAGCACUACAAACAACUAGCGCGUAUAAUUGUGCUCCUUGAAAAUAGCUAGUUUAAGACCCCGUUUGGAUCAACUUCAGGCUUCCAAAAACUCUAGCCGACCUAAUUAAGUUUUGAUCUAGCUUUUACAACCUUACAAGCAAUCUUUCCUAAAAAUUUUCAGUACAUUUGUGCAUUAUGACUUUUAAAAGCUCUAGCUGAUCCAAAGAAGCCAGCUUGGUCUAGCUUUUAACAAUCCAUAAGUAGGCCGUACCUAAGAUUUAGAGGUCCUUGUGCUAAACAUAAAUUAGGCCCUUCAUUUACAAGUAUAAGUAAAUGAAGUGUAUUUUUUAUUUGAUUAUAUAACAUAUCAUGAUUAAGUGCUUGUUGUCCUGAUUAGUAGAACAGUAACAGAUGAGAGCGCAGGGAGGAAAAAUUGAAAAGUGGAAGUAUAAUUGACAGGAGGAUCUUGGAGGAAAAAAAAUAAACAAGGCUGUUUUGAGAAAAUGAAGCGGCGACCGUUGGAGAGCCGAUCUAGGAAAAAGCAGCAAAUUGUACUAGUUCCACCUUAUUUUGCUGGCUUAGUGAUAAAUACUAAUUAUCAAUAACCACUGGUAGAGAAUUGGCCUUUAGUCCCGGUUGGUAGGGUGCAUAUCUCCCGAAAAUCCAUCUGGGAUAAACCAACCGGGAUAAAAGGGGGGUCUUUAGUCCCGGGUCUUUUAACCGGGAGUAAAGGUCCACGCCAGGCGCGGGACAGGCCCUUUAGUCCCGGCUGGAUUCCAACCGGGACUAAAUGGCGCCCUGCAUGGCACUGCCUGGUGCCUGAAUUUUUCAUGCAUGCAUCACGUACGUAGUACCGCGGCCCUUUUGUUAACCUUUAGUAGUUGAGAUUUUUUUAGAACGAAAUCAACUAGUAUUUAAACGAAUAGGAUUUGUAAUUAUACAAUUACUAUAUAUAUACACAAUUCUUAUACACAAUUCAUAUACACAAUUCAACUAGCUUAGAACAAAUCGAUCAUAAUUAGCGCGUAUUAUAUAUACAAAUAAAUCAAAGUAUAUGUCUACAAUCUUCCCGUCGUGGUGUUGCUCAUCGGAGUGUCUAAUUGUCGUCCAUCAUAAUAAAAUUCUCCUUUUGGGAAUGUUCUAUCAAUUGAUCUCCACUGUGCCCCAUCUGCGGGGUGUCUCAGCAUCUCAUCUUCCUUACGGUCUUCUUUGUGCCAUCGCAUCAACUUAGCAUUCACCUUGUUCCUGAACAAACGCUUCAAGCGUGGUAUUAUAGGGAAAUACCACAUCACCUUCGCGGGAACUCUCUUCUUGGGAGACUACCCCUCGACAUCACCAGGAUCAUCUCGCCUGAUCUUAUACCAUAGGGCUUCGCAGACGGGACAAGCAUCCAAUUUCUCGUAUUCAUCACCACGAUAGAGGAUACAGUCAUUAGGGCAUGCGUGUAUCUUCUGAACAUCCAAUCCGAGAGGGCAAACAAUCUGUUUAGCUUCAUAUGUUGUGGACGGUAAUUCAUUAUUCUCGGGGAGAAUCUUCUUGACAAUGUUCAACAUCCCCUGAAAUGCCUUAUCGGACACACCAUUUUUUGCCUUCCAUUGCACAAAUUCUAGUGUCGUACCUAGUUUUUUAUGGCCCUGCUGACAACCUGGGUACAACAAUUUUUGGUGAUCAUCUAUCAUGCGCUGCAACUUUGCUGUUUCCUUCUCAGUUUCACAAUCUCUGUAUGCAUCUCGUAUCACCUGACCAAGGUCAUCAGUAGGGCCAUUUUCUGCAAACUUAUCUUCAUCAGCCUCGCCCAUUGUAGUACCUGCAAAAGCUUGGCCUGCAACCCAGUCUGGAAUGGUGUGUCAUCUUCCUCCUCCUCCUCGCCAUCUUCCAUUACGACCCCUAGUUCACCGUGCUUGGUCCAAAUCAAAUAGUUAGGCAUGAAACCGUAUUUAAACAAGUGGCUGUGAAUAGUCCCCCAGUAAUCCUUUGAAUACUCCUUCUUGUUAUUGCAUUGGAAGCAUGGACAACAUACGAACCUAUUCCCUGGCUUGUUCGCUUUGGCCACUUCGAGAAAAUAAUGCAAGCCAUCAAUAAACGCCUUGCUCCACCUAUCUGCAUUAUACAUCCAUUGCCGGUCCAUCUGCAUCGUAUUACGCAUAAAAAUGGAUUACACUUGACAAUGGAUUACGCGUGAAAAUCGAUUAAAGAUCCAAACAACAUGGUACAAUACAACAACAUGAAGAUCCAAAUACACAUAUUUAAAUUAAAGUUCCAAACAACAUGAUACAAUACAACAAGCCAUCCACUGGUUAUUAUCUAGGAGGACUUUAAGCAUCCUUGGACGGUGAAGACGAAGGCUCCGCUGACCCAACCUCAUCCUUAGGUUUAUUUGUGCCGCCUGAAACUGUAGUACUAAGUGGACGUGAAACACCCGGGACUGAGGGUGGAGCAUAACGACCACCAAAAGGAGGUUCCUGACCCGCGGCAACAGCUUCUUCAUGACGUUGCUGCAAAUAACAAAGCAUUGCUUUUUCCAGCGCGCUCUUUUUCUUCGGCUUAUGCUGAGGGUCAACUAUGAUUUUCCCCUUGCCGAAAUAGGAACCACGAUCGCCCCCACCAUCGCCACUUCCUCCAGUAGCAGAAGCCAUCUAUGUACAAAAAUUAUUACCUUAACACUGCAUAAGUUAUUGAACUUGAAGACCGUGAUCAUCUCGCGAGCAUGUCCUCAACUGGGCGGCACCGCACUUCGUCAUGAAAGAGGUUAGAUGCUACGGAAAAGGGGACACGGUCACGAUGUCCGUAUCCACUCUUUCUCGUAGAAUCGAACCUCCUUCUUGACAUACGUUGCUGCUUGGCGGAGAACAUCCUAUGCGAGAUGACCACGGUAUGCAAGUUCAACAAGUAUGGAUUUGAAAAACCUUAUUGAAUUUGAUAAGUUCAACAAGUAGCAGAAGUCAUCUAUGUACAAAAAUUGUUUCCUUACCACUGCAGAAGUUGUUGAACUUGAAGACCGUGAUCAUCUCGCGAGCAUGUUCUCAACUGGGCGGCACCGCACUUCGUCAUGAAAGAGGUUAGAUACUACGGAAAAGGGGACACGGUCAUGAUGUCCGUAUCCACUCUUUCUCGUAGAAUCGAACCUCCUUCUUCACAUAUGUUGCUGCUCGGCAGAGAACAUCAUCGCAGAGAUGAACACGGUAUGCAAGUUCAACAAGUAUGGAUUUGAAAAACCAUAUUGAAUUUGAUAACAUAAACCGUCUAGACAAGGUAGCAUCAUUCUUAAACCACUGCAAUAAUGCAUACUAUAUAUAUGACACAUCAAUCUCCCUCACAUUCUAGCUCAAAAUACCUCUCCAUUUUCUACUUCAUCAUCACAUUCUAGCAAAUAAUCUUUCCAUCUCCAAAGCAUAAAUCAAAGCAUAACACGAGGAUGAAGUAGCAAACCUUCACAACACUUGUAUUGGCCGAGUGAAAUUCCCACGAAAAUGAGGGAAAAAACUUCGGGCAGCACCUCCCUUGCUUCGGCACCACCGGAGAGUAGGUGAAGCUCAGCUCUCUCUGUCAAUGUGCUGGACUGGCUCGGGCUGGAGGAGGAAGAAAGUCCUCUGUCUUGGCCGUAUAUAAUGGGGAUGAGUUUUUAUCCCAGUUAAAAACUCCAACCGAGACAAAAAGGAACACCUUUUGUCCCGGUUGAAACUUUUUGUCCCGGUUGGAGGCUCCAACCGGGAUAAAAGGGAUAAAAUGGUGCCGCCACCGACGCCCCCCAGCUAGCCGUUGCAACCGGGACUAAAGGGGGGCCUUUCGUCCCGGUUGCAAUUACCAACCGGGACUAACUCUCCCCUCCAUUUUUGCCUACCGUGGCACACCCCCUUUUGUCCCGGGCCAACUUUAAACCGGGAUAAAAGGGGGCGCAUCGAAAGCCAAUUCUCUACUAGUGAACAAAAUUUGAUACCAUCAAUUCUUAAACCUGACCCGGUAAGAUCAAGUAAUUUAUUUGGUUGAAUUUUGAGUUUAAUUUGGCUAGAUCAAAUUCAAGUUAGAUAACUAAAAAAAAGUCAAGUUAGAAAAUAAUAGCGAUUGCAAGAUAUUGGACUUCUUUCUUAGUUCAAAAUUGGACCUAGUGAUUUCAUCUACACAGUAGAGUGUGUGGGUGGAUGCCUGGGUGGCUAGAUGAAAUCACUAGGCCCACAAACGAUAUGCUUGAGCCUCACUAGCGUCGAGCCUACCAUUCCAUUCAUCUUAUAAACUAGCUCACACUUCAUAAACUUUAGCUAACGUCAUGUCGAAAAUUUAGUAGCCUAAUCUUUCCAUCAUGAACCAAAAAAAUGCAAACCAUGAUAAUGUGCAAUUGUAUGCUAACAUCAAAAGGAAAUGAACUUUGGCCACUCAUUUAUAAACAAGUGUUUGGAUGGGACCUACAAAUAAUAUCAUGGAAUUCUCGUCAUGUACAAACAUCUUCGUAAUAACAUAAGAAAGUAAGUAGAAAUAGGUUGAACGGUUCAUUUUUAACCACCCACUAGGUACCCCUUGCGGCUGGCAGCUGCUGCAAGGCAGCCCCGCUGAUCUUCAGCCUGGUAGGUGUGCUCGAACCUGCUGCAACCGCAAAGUAUAUAAAGAGGUUACAGAUCAGAGUCGUCCGAAAUGGCAAAAGUGCAAAAGAUAUGUCUUUUACGGUAUACAAUACUAACUUAUACUACUGUUCGAAAAGAACUCGUAUAUAAGGAUCCGAUGGUUGAGAUUAAUUGUAUACUACUAAAACCUUAAGCUAGGUAGUAUGCAUGAGUGUAUGGGUAGUACAGGGUAGGUUAUCUUCUUUCCUUUUGCUCAUCGUCUCUUCAUUUCCAAUCGUUCGCACGCGCACUGGGCUGGUGGCGGCGAGUCCACAGCUGGAGGCAGCGAGGAAGAAGGAGGUCAGGUACGAGAAGAUCCGGACCAUCGAGAAGGGCCACCGGCGGCACUUCCACGACGACAUCACCGUCGUCAUGCUGUUCCUCGACAGGUGCAGGUCCGGACCGGAGGACAUCGACGGCAGCGCACGUCGACGUCUUCUCCUACAGCCCCGCCGGCGACCACGAGGACCCGACCAGACCCGUCCUGCGUUGAGGUUGAUCUCGGAUUCUCGGCUGGUGGUCCUCGUGCUAUCCAGAGAUUGAUGAACAUACUGUUCUUUCUUUCGGUGCUUGAUCCGAUCGCUCGCUCUCUAAACGAGAGGUACGCGUGAAUCGAGCCGUUUCCCGUUCAAGGAGAAUUUGCCUGCAAAGAAAUGCUAGUAUCGAAUCGAACAUACUGUGUGGUAAACGUACUGUAAACCUUCAUCAGUUCCUUCUUUCGUUUUAAGAGAAUGUGAAUGUUCUACUGCACUCCAACGAUCCUGCUUUCUAGUAUCUGUUCUUCCCGGUGUUCUUCAUAGCCGCCGGCGGCGAGCUCCUUCAGACGAGUGAGCAGCGAAUAUUAUAUGUCGUGCUACCCAUACCAAAAAACAGCCUGCACUCUACAUUACAACCAGGUGGUAGUAUUGUCAAACGUCAGAAUUGGUUCGUUUCUAUUCCGAGCAAGCUGUUCCUGGAUUUUCUUCUUCAGUUCACCUUUCUUGCGCCUUUCUUCCUGUCUUACUUCCUCUAUCUUUUCCCUGGUCUCAGGAUCUUUAGCAGCUCCUAUCCUUCUAUAAUCCCAGUAAAUGUGAACACUGAGCUGGACCUCGUUGAUGCUUUGGAGAAUAUCUAGCCCAGAAAAUCCAAUCUCAUUAUUUACUACCCCUGUGACCUGCAGCCGCUCAAGUUUGGGCAUUAUUCCUUCUUCAAACUUUACCGAUUUGAUGUACUGUAUGUUUGCAAGCAUGAGCACCCUGAGGCUUCCGAAAGCUCUUCCAGUCUGCUGAGAUCGGAAACGAAGUUCUUCACCCUGAAACGAUUGACGAGACAAGCUUAGAAUUUCCAGCUUUGACAGUUUCCCAAGGAAUUCCAUAGCAUCAUCGUGCUCCAAUAGCCUGGUGCUCACUAGUUUCAACUUCACAAGAUGCGGGAGCUGCUUGAUCCAUUGCGGCAACGUUUCCAUAUUGCCAUAGAGCUUGAGGCUCUGCAGGUUUUCUGGAGGCGGGGAUAUAGCAUCCAAGCAGCCAUGCAAACCUGGCUUCCCUGACGAACUCACAGAUAGUGAUUCCAGCCUGCUGAGCUUGGAAAUGGCAGCGCGAAAAGCUGGGCCAUUCUUCCUGUUGAUGCCGGUGACUCCUAACUUGCGCAAUCCCGUGAGCAUUUUGAUGUCCUGUAGAACAGCAUUUCCCCUUCCGACAUUCACUUCCCGCAAUGUGUGCAACUCUUUCAGUUUUCUUGUCCCCCUUGGCACUAUAGCGCCUCUUUCUUCAUCAACUCCUGUCAUGACAGCAGGGAAUUUCACGCAGCAAGCGAAAGUGCAUGCAUCACGCCUUGUAAGGGCCUUAUGGAAAGGGCCAUCAAUGUCCCGAAGAAGAGGUACGCAACAUGUUGCACAUUGACCCGCCCCCCAAAGACACCUUCUCGUUAAACUGUCCUUUGCCUCUGUUACAUACUCUGUUCUCCGACCAGCGUGGAUGUACUGUAGCUUCCGAAGCUUGAUGAUGGUUUUGGGCAGAGCCAUUACCCAUGUACCUCUGACGUCUAGCACUUGGAGCUGUCUCAGGUUGCCCAAUAAAUCUGGUAGUAGAUCAAUACCACUACAUCCUCGUAGAGAAAGGUAUUUUAGGUGAACAAGCUUCCAAAUAUGAUGAAGCUUAUGGUAUUUUAGAUCAUCUAUAUCUUCUAAGUCGAGCACUCGUAGAAGCCUCAUCUCGUCAGAAAUGUAAAAUGGUCUGAAUUCUCCGAACACGGUUAAUGAUCGUAAUCGUGACAGAUUAACUAUUCUCUCUAACUCACUCUGAUCUCCUUUCCAAUUGCUGCUUAUUGCAAGAUGACGAAUUGCGCCAUGGGUACUCAAGCCACAUCCUUCCUCCAGUCUAAAAACAAGGUUUUCCUCCAUUGACUUUGAGAUGGCAAUGUUACGGAUGAGAUCAUGGACUUUGCAAGGGUCAAUUGAUUUUCUACUGUGAACUGAUUGUUGAAAUGGUAAAAUCAUGCUUCUGUAUUUGAGUUGUGUAAAGUAAUUUUCAGCCAUUUCAUUGGCAGACUUACCACGCCUCUCGUGUGAGUACCCUUCUACUGUCCAUCGAUGCACCAAACGUCUCUGGCUAAUGAUGUGGUCCUUAGGAAAAAUGGAUAGAUAUAAGAAACAUGACUUGAGUUCAUAGGGUAAACCAUCAUAACUUGUCUGAAGGACGGUUCUUAUCAUCCCAAGCUCUGGAUUCAUCUCUAACUCAGCACUAAUAUUUUCAUUCAACUUUCUCCACUCAGCUCUAGUCUUUGGCCGGCUUGCCAAGUAGCCACCUAUUGUAACUAUUGCAAGGGUAAGUCCACCACACUUUUUUAUGAUUUUUUUUGUUUCUUCAAACAACUCCGGAUUCUUCUUAAUCAAAUCUGUUGCCUUCACAUGGGGAAGUCCACCAUACUUCUUCGAGUUUUGGUUUGCUUCUUCAACAAACUCUGGAUUUUGCUUAACAAAAUCUGCAGCCUUCCCAAAUACCUGAUUUUAAUGCAAUUUAAGUAUUUUAGUACUCCAAUCCAAAAAAUUACAUAAUUGUGCAUUACUUGUUGAUAUUUUGUUUGCUAGUGAUAGGCGCACAAUUGGUUGUGCACAGUGAUAAACACAUAUUGAAACAAUAGUUUUCCUGUGAAACUUGGUGAUAUAUAAUUUUUUUUGUAAGUUUGGCUGAAACUUGUCCAUUAUUCUUUUAUAAAAUAUUGCUGAAACAAAUAAGGACAAAAUAAAUUAAAGCAUUCUCUACUGUGUUCAACAAGAGGACAAAACACAUUUUUGCUAUUGGAAACUCCUAAUUUUGGAAAAGUCACCUAAUAAAAUGACAAAAGUACCUUCCCUUAAGAUCCUCAGAAAAAUGAGAACUAUUUUGUUGUUUCACAUGGCUAAAUGAGUAUGAAAGGGAAUUAAACAAAUAAGGACAAAAGAAAUUAAAGCAUUCUCUACUGUGUUCAACAAGAGGACAAAACACAUUUUUGCUAUGUUCUUUUGGUGUUUGUGGUCUUGUGUUUUCUAAAACGGAGAACGGGCAUCAUUGAUAUACUGGGAGGCAAAAAUUACGUUAUAUCUGAAUCAUGGAUGUAUAGGUCAAUAGCGGCAAUAAUUGGGAUGGCAACAGCCUGUUGAAUAUCAAUCUAUGUAUGGAUCAUCUUGGUUCAGUUGUUCAAAUGAUAAACAAAUGUCAAACAAUUUGCAUGUUCCCAUCUGUUCCCUGUUGUCGACAGGACCAUCUUUAAUCUCUACAAAAUGCUAGACUGUUGUAGUAAUAAUGCUAUUAAAAAUCAAGCAAGUGACAAGGUUUCUAUUAUAUUACCUUUAAGCUGAAGAGGUUAAGUGCAUCCUCUUCUUUUAGAACUUCAAGGUUGUGUACUAUUCCAUAUUUCCUGGAACAAUGCUUUGCAAUGCUUUCCUCCCUUGUAGUCACAAUUAUUCGGGUUGUUUUUUCCAUCUAAGAAAACCCUUGUAUUAUAUGGUCCCAUUCUUCAAUGGAUGACAGAUCGUCCAGAACAAUCAAGCAGCUCUUCUUUUCUAAAAUCCUUUUCAACUCUUUAGUCAAGGCUUUAACCUCCAUCAUUGCUAAUGAUUCGGUCUCGCUGGGUCUAUUGUUCAACAGUUCUUCCUUCUUAGAAGACUCUUCCUGUAAUCGUCCGACUAAACUUCUAAGUCUAAGUAGAUCUGCAGGAUUGAAAGGACGCAUGAUUGUGACAAAAGCAUGCUUCUCAAACAUGUCACUUAACUUUGGGCUUUGAUAAAUGCCAUUGGCUAGAGUGGUUUUUCCAAGACCACCCAUUCCCCAAAUAGAGAUCACCUGACUCUGUUGGCUAGCCUUGUUUGAGAUUAAUCCUAUAAUUUUGGAUAUUUCUUUCUCUCGCCCAAUAAGUUCAGAUUCCUCCAAAGAACCAACACCUGUUCUGAUGCGAGUGAGGCUCUUUUUGUCCACCUUCGUUUCCUCAACAUCCUUACACUGAUCAUCUGUUAUCUCACUAGUGGCCACUAUUUGAGCAUUUGUACUGGUAGUGGCCACAUCUGAGCUAGAUACUGGAUUCACGGAAACCAUUUCCUUUUGAGAACCCUGAACAAACAGAAAGUACAAUUAUUGGAAGCAACCUUUGAACUUCUUCUUCUUCUUGUUAUUUUUUUAAGGUUAUGUACCUAUAACCAAAGUACUAUAUAACCUUUUAUGUAAUCGUGCAGUCAGUGACUUUUGGUCAUAAAUCAAUUUAACAAGGUAUGAAAAUUACAGAUAACAGAUAUCUGACCUCGCUGCAGUGCUUAAGUUUUUAAUAUUUAUAAGCCGAAGUCCUAACAUAAGGUCAUAGUUGAAGACAUCAGGGGUAAAGGGUUAUGGUUUCAAAUGAUCCACCUCCCUCUGAAAUCCUAAAACCCACCCAGUUAUUACUCAGUAAUCUGUAGUUUAAAUGAUGCUCCCUAUUGAUAGAAAUAUCUUGGUGUCCUCCUAUCUAAAUUUUUAAGAGUUUAGUAGCUGUGUUUAUAUUAGCUGUUGAAGAAGCUGUAAAUUAUAAUUUCUUAUCUAAAAUUCAACGACGAAUCCCAAGUUAUGUUUAUCCUCCCCUCAAGAGAUGCUGCGAUCAACAUAGACUACAGCAAUGCACGGAUUCAGUAUCUUUCCCCUUCAUAUAGGUUUUCAGUUAGCAAAUGCAGGGAUUUCACAAUUUUUCUAGUAUAUCCAUUCAUUAAAUCUGCUGGAAUAUCCUGUAGGAUUUAACAAGGUAUUAUUUUUCACAUUGACAUUGGGAGAUUGCUUUCCAAGAACAGAUGGGACAAUUGCUUUAGAGAUUUAUGUAACUAAAAUAAAGCUUCAAAAUUUAUAGUUAAGCAAGGAGGCUUAUACUCCCUCCGUUUCAAAUUGUAGGUCGUUUUGGCUUUUUUAGAUACAUGAUUUUUGCUAUGCACCUCUAGAUACAUAGCAAAAUCUAUGUAUUUAUAAAAGCCAAAACGACCUAUAAUUUGAAAUAGAGGAAGUAUUUCAUUACACUGUAAAUUUGCAUAUUAAUGUGUUAGCCAAUCUAGUACCUUUAGCAAUUCCCUUUUCAGGCAAUUUCUUAAAUGCUAUUGGAAAAUAAUAUAAUCCUUGAUACGCCGAUAACUGAACUAGAAUAAUGUUGUCAUAGAAUGCUACUAAAAAUAAAAAUAAAAGUAUUACCUUGUCAUAGAAUGCAUAAAGCGUGUGAUCAGCAGACAGCUGCUUUAGCUCCGAGGCUUGGCUAUCUUGCCCUGCACAUAAGCUUGCAACUUCAACUUGUGUUGUUGACACUAUGAUUCGGCUUCCUUUGUUGUUGUUUGGCAGGCAUUUUUCGAUCUGGUCCCACUCUUCAAUGGUGCAGAGGUCAGUAAGCACAAUGAGAAACCUCUUCUCCUUCACAUAUCCAUCGAACUCCUGAACUAAAUCGUGCGCGGUCUUCUCUGUGUCUAAUAUAUCUUUAAAUCCUUCCACUGCAAGAAAUUGGUUCACUAAGCUCCGGACAAAGCCUUCUGAACUGAAUGGAUGAGUCACCCUCACCCAUGCUCGGCUGGGAAAUUUUCUUUGGGUGUCUGGAUUCUUGUAAGCCGCCCUGAUGAUGGAUGUUUGGCCGAUAUCACCACCUGUUCCCCACACCGCAAUGACUCUAAGGUCAUCAUCCUCCUUGUUGAUCAGUUGGACGAGAUCCACUCUCUGAUUCUCCUUUGCGGCACGCCUUGCAUCAUCAACACCGAAUAUGGCUGCAGCAAUGAUGCUUGAUUGCACAGUGGCAGCUGUGGCCUUGGAUCCAGAGCCCUUGAUGAGGCGGUACCGCACAUUCCUCUGGCUCACAUCCUCAACCUUGGCCCUGAGCUCCUUCAUCUUCUUGGCCACACGGCGCCGCUCGAGCAGCGUGCGAGGGAAUCGCCACCAAGAUGGCCUCUCCACACGGACAGCAAAAUCUUGGAGACUGUCCUCAACGUCAUAGGCCGUGUCACGGACCUGCUUCACCCAGAUCUUCACCACUUUGUUGUCGUCUCGCUCCUCGUGUGCCUCCAUCAUGAAAGACUGCAUCAUCUCAAGCUCAUCCGAGACGAACGCAUGAUCACGCUGGAUACCGAGCUGCAAGGCUACCUCCUCUGCGAAGGCAGAUUUCGCGUAGCCGAGUGCUCCAUUCAGCACGGACUUGCCCACACUCAGCGCCGUCGCCUCCAUCGUUCUGCUGUGUUUCUCCGUAGAUCUAUACAAGGCUCAAAUUUAGAAGCUAAUGGUGUGUUUGGUUGGUUGUAUCAUUUGAUUCAUAUAUGAAAUGAUUUAAAAUAAUAAUGAUCAUUUUGUUUGGUUGGGUGAAUUGGACCAACUCAUCCAGGAUGAGGCUAUCCCACUUAAUACAUUAUUCUACUAAUUAGAGUGAACCAUAUGGUACAAGCAAAUUGGUUGAACCACCCCAUCCAGGAUUCAUCCAUGCAUGCAUCAUGUAAUGCAUGCAACCAAACACACCCUAAAACUCCGAGGCAGAAAAGGAUAGAUGGACAGGCGUUGACCCAGCAAGAUGGCAAGUACCUGAAUUUUGGUGAACGCACAACCAAGGCAGGGGCAGAUCUAGGGAACGCACACCGGGUGAUCAACAGCACUCACAAGGUAAAUAUGCUGCAAAAUACAUUCUUGCUGUAAAUACAAAUAAUACAAUCUGUGAGAAACUGAAGAUCUUUGAAAGUAUAUACCUUCUGUGGCCUAUGAGAUCUUGUGGCGUGGAAGUAAAUACAGCACUCUACUGCUUUGAUCCGGCGAGCUGGCUCAAGCUCACACGCCCUGACGUGACGCGGCAUGCCAGCAAGGUUGAGGCCAAAUGGUGUGGAUGCGUGAUUCCAAGGCAGUAGGCACCGAGAUGGCGGCGCCGCCCUCGCCGACGAGCUACGCGGCCACUACUCUUGCUGUCUUGCACCCGGUCGGCCUGUCGCCGCUCACACUCUGUGGUGGCUUGGUAGUCACCAGUUACUCCUCAGGAGUACCCCAUGCUGGCUGGGAGCAGUGGACUCUAGAUACCUCUAAUGGACUUUGCAGGGUGCUUAAAUGGUCAGUAGGGAUUUUGCACACAAGCACUUGUUGGGGUCGGUUAGCAGCCGCCUGCCGAUUUCCGCCUGCCAAAGGAAACUCACCAUCUCUCUUUUUUUUAAAAAAAAACGGUCUUUGAAACAAACCGCUUUAUUAUUGCCCUAGGGACAGAUGCAUCACAGCAUAAGAUGCAUGAGCAAAUAAUUAAGUACUCCCUCGGGAGUAGAUUUUUUCAAUCAGUUAGAUCCAAAGCGAUUGAUUAGCAGAUGUCACUAUGUCACAUGGGGCGGUACACUGGCAACAAUAAGAUACUUAAAGAGCUAACUGGCCGACGAUGCUACCGAAGACUUAACUAAUUAGUACUAGUUUUUGUUGGACCAACCUCUACAUACACGUAACACAACUGUCCUAGAAAUAUAGUUGCGCACAAGAUAAAAUUGCAUAACCCAAGCACCUUCUACAAAGGUUGAAAUGUUCGCUAUACAAACCAUGGUCCAUGGCAUACAAGCUGAGUAAACUCCAAAAGGGUUCUGCAUACAACCUAAAACAAUCUUACAACAAAGAAACAGACAAACCCAAUCACUACCGGAAACAGUUAUUUUGCCGAGUGCCCCAGGCACUCGGCGAAGGCCCAAUUACACUCGGCAAAUGGUUUGCUGAGUGUAACACUCGGCGAAGUCUAGUCGGCAAAGUUUUCCUCGGCAAACAGGCUGUUUGCCGAGUGUCGAUCGUCGGGCACUCGGCAAACCUUUUGCCGAGUGCCAAAAUACACUCGGCAAAAUUAAACACUCGGCACAAAGACGUUAACGGUCUGUCACGGCAACGGAGGAUUUGCCGAGUGCCUGAUGGCCGACACUCGGCGAAUCCGUAAAGUGUGCCGAGUGUAUUCUUAAGGACACUCGGCGAAGAUUUAUCAGUGUGCCGAGUGUACUCCGGAGAACACUCGGCGAAAAUGCAUGGAUCGCCGAGUGCCUGCCACGUGGCACUCGGCGAAGAAGCCCCACCCGCCGUUUUUAUUUGACCAUUUGCCGAGUGUCGGCGGGCAGGUACUCGGCAAAGGUCUAACGGCCGGCCCAACCCGGUAACGGACGACGCACGUGCGAUGCACGCGCUGUUGAUUUACCGAGUGUGGCUUAUUUGCCGAGUGUCCAGGAGUCGUUUGCCGAGUGCCUUUUUUUUUGCACUCAGCAAACCUCCUAUUUGCCGAGUGUAUUAUGUUCGCCGAGUGCCUCGUUGUAUACACUCAGCAAAGACGGUGUUUGCCGAGUGCCGAAAAAAUGCACUCGGCACACUUUUUACACUCGGCGAAUUUACUGUUUCCGGUAGUGAAUGGACAAUAUCCAUGUAUACUUCGUUUCAGAAAGGUGUUCCGUUUGCAUUAUGCUUUAGUGUAGCACCAGGCUAAAAUGCAGGACCGUCUUCUCGAGCUCAUCACUGAUGAAUGCCUGGUCUCGCUGGACACCAAGCUGCAACCUGCAAGGCCACCUCCUCUGCCAAGGAAGAUUUCGCGUAGCCAAGUGAUGCUCCAUUCAGCACAUACUUGCCCACACUCAGUGCCGUCGCCUCCAUAGCUCUGCAAGGUGUGGUUCUCCAUGUUUUUUUAGAUUAGGGAAAUAUCCGGUCUUGCGAAUGUCUACGACCACAUGAAACAAAAUGCAGUUCUUAGACCACCAUCUGCCACAAGGCCUUACACAAAGUUUCAUCCAAACAGAAGAUGACAGACACUAGGCCUCAAUCCUAUUCCUGGAACUCCACCCAAACUUGCUGAAGAUUUCCAUGAUAGCGAUCUCCAAAUUGCGACAGCUUUGUUUCAAGGUGACCUUCUCUUCCUCAUUAGAUAGCAGCGACCACCAUCUUAUUCAGUAUAUCCCCUGAAGAUUAUUUGCAUAAGAGAGUUAGGCUUGGAUCUUUUGAGCACUACAUCAUUCCUACUUAACCAAAUAGCCCAACAAAGACCCGAUGCACCCUGAUUUCUAAGCUUUACAGAAAUAGUUUCUAAGCCAAGAACCAAACAAAUUCAAUACAUUGGUAGGCGGUUGAAUAUCAAAUGUGAUAUAAACAACAGUCCAAAUUGAUCUGGCCAAAUGACAGUCAAAAAAUAAAUGUUGAAUCGUCUCACUAGAGCUACAGAAGCAACACCUAGUUCUGCCUUGCCAAUUUCUCUUUACCAAGUUGUGGCAGACCUGAUGCUCACCUCACACAUCUGGCCUGAUGACUCUACACAGUGACUGAGCUGCCGCCACAGCUGCACUCUUGGCGUAUGGUCCUAGAACGAAUCCAGAUCAAGUGACUGUGCCCAUGUGAAGCACACUCAACGUAUCGACAGCUCAAAGUGUAACAGAGAGAGGAGCUGGUUUGGACGGAUCGAUGUCCUAUAGCCUUGCGGUGGUUGGGAGCAAAGUUUCCCUUCCCCCGCAUGCAUGCACUUGAAUCCAUUAUUUUGCAAUUCACCAAGCCAAAGAUGCCCAAAGAGCUCAGUGAGGCGUUCGAUGUAGGCAAAGUACUCACACACUCUGGUGAUAAUCAUACUGCUUAUUUGAUUGAUGGUGGCCUGAGUGCUGAGUAGCCUUUGGUCAGGCUGUAAAGGUACAGUAGCAUUUAUUUUAUGUUGUGGAGUGUACUAGUUGUUGAGACGGGCUGUAAAGAUACACCAUGUUUGAUUACAUGCAAAAAAAAAUUUGAGAAGGUUACAGCCUGCUUUGGACAUGGUAACACUGCAACCACUCCUCCAAGUUCCCUUUCUUCUUUUUUUAUUCUACUACACGGAGAUCGGCGCAACACCAAGCAUGAGUAAAGAUGCACGAUCGCAGAAAGCUCCUCGUAGUCAAGUUCUAAUCCUUCAAGAAUGAAAGCAAGCAACAACAGCUUGAAACUGGCUCAGCAUUUUGGACUACCAAACUCUGAACAAUUAGGUUGAUCGGUUUAACCAUCCAGGCACAAAUUGAUAAAAGUUCGAGACCUUUCAUCAGCCCCCCUUUUUUUGCCCAACAGCCGAUCGCCAAAUGCCGAAAAUGUCAAGAAGACUCACCAAAUUUUGUGGUGGAUUUUCAGCGGCAAAGCUUCCUUGAGAGGUACAUGAGGGAAAGCGACGUGAAUUCGUUGAACACUUCACCGGUAUGAUGAUGUCUAUCGGAUGAGCAGGUGGAAUGAGAACAAAGUAGUGUGGAUAAGAGCUGAGGUGGUGAUAAGCUCUUGGCAUCUGCUUCUCAAGCACAAAAGUUUAGAUGAAACUUAGCUAAACAGGACCUUGAAAUGGAUGAUACUUGGUACCAUACUAUUUUGAAAUUCAGGAAAACAAGACGGAACGCUUUGCUGGACAUCUUCCGUACAACGCUUGUGUGCUCUUUGAGCCCCUCCAACGAAUCCGAUCAUGAGCACUACAAACAACUAGCGCGUAUAAUUGUGCUCCUUGAAAAUAGCUAGUUUAAGACCCCGUUUGGAUCAACUUCAGGCUUCCAAAAACUCUAGCCGACCUAAUUAAGUUUUGAUCUAGCUUUUACAAUCUUACAAGCAAUCUUUCCUAAAACUUUUCAGUACAUUUGUGCAUUAUGACUUUUAAAAGCUUUAGCUGAUCCAAAGAAGCCAGCUUGGUCUAGUUUUUAACAAUCCAUAAGUAGGGCCGUACCUAAGAUUUAGAGGUCCUGGUGCUAAACAUAAAUUAGGCCCUACAUUUACAAAGUAUAAAUAAAUGAAGUGUAUUUUUUAUUUGAUUAUAUAACAUAUCAUGAUUAAGUGCUUGUUAUCCUGAUUAGUAGAACAGUAACAGAUGAGAGCGCAGGGAGGAAAAAUUGAAAAGUCGAAGCAUAAUUGCAAGGAGGAUCAUUGGAGGAAAAACAAAUAAACAAGACUGUUUUGAGAAAAUGAAGCGGCGACCGUUGGAGAGCCGAUCUAGGAAAGAGCAGCAAAUUGGACUAGUUCCACCUUGUUUUGCUGGCUUAGUGAUAAAUACUAAUUAUCGAUAACACAAUUUGACACCAUCAAUUCUUUAAACCUGACCUGGUAAGAUCAAGUAAUUUAUUUGGUUGAAUUUUGAGUUUAAUUUGGCUAGAUCAAAUUCAAGUUAGAUAACUAAAAAAAGUCAAGUUAGAAAACAAUAGCAGAUUGCAAGGUAUUGGACUUCUUUCUUAGUUCAAAAUUGGACCUAGUGAUUUCAUCUACACAGCAGAGUGUGUGGGUGGGUGCCUGGGUGGCUAGAUGAAAUCACUAGGCCCACAAACGACAUGCUUAAGCCUCACUAGCGUCGAGCCUACCAUUCCAUUCAUCUCAUGAACUACCUCACACUUUUUAAACUUUAGCUAACGUCAUGUCAAAAAUUUAGUAGCCUAAUCUUUCCAUCAUGAACCCCAAAAAAAUGCAAACCAUGAUAAUGUGCAAUUGUAUGCUAACAACAUAAGGAAAUGAACUUUGGCCACUCAUUUAUAAACAAGUGUUUGGAUGGGACCUACAAAUAAUAUCAUGGAAUUCUCGUCAUGUACAAACAUCUUCGUAAUAACAGAAGAAAGUAAGUAGAAAUAGGUUGAACGGUUCAUUUUUAACCACCCACUAGGUACCCCUUGCGGCUGGCAGCUGCUGCAAGGCAGCCCCGCUGAUCUUCAGCCUGGUAGGUGUGCUCGAACCUGCCGCAACCGCAAAGUAUAUAAAGAGGUUACAGAUCAGAGUCGCCCGAAAUGGCAAAAGUGAAAAAGAUCUUUGCGGUAUACAAUACUACCUUAUACUACUGUUCGAAAAGGACUCGUAUAUAAGGAUCCGAUGGUUGAGAUUAAUUGUAUACUACUAAAACCUUAAGCUAGGUAGUAUGCAUGAGAGUAUGGGUAGUACAGGGGUAGGUUAUCUUCUUUCCUUUUGCUCAUUGUCUCUUCAUUUCCAAUCGCUCGCACGCGCACUGGGCUGGUGGCGGCGACUCCGCAGCUGGAGGCAGCGAGGAAGAAGGAGGUCAGGUACGAGAAGAUCCGGACUAUCGAGAAGGGCCACCAGCGGCACUUCCACGACGACAUCACCGUCGUCAUGCUGUUCCUCGACAGGUGCAGGUCCGGACCGGAGGACAUCGAUGGCAGCGCCCGUCGACGUCUUCUCCUGCAGCCCCGCCGGCGACCACGAGGACCCGACCAGGCCCGUCCUGCGUUGAGGUUGAUCUCGGAUUCUCGGCUGGUGCUCCUCGUGCUAUCCAGAGAUUGAUGAACAUACUGUUCUUUCUUUCGGUGCUUGAUCCGAUCGCUCGCUCUCUAAACGAGAGGUACGCGUGAAUCGAGCCGUUUCCCGUUCAAGGAGAAUUUGCCUGCAAAGAAAUGCUAGUAUCGAAUCGAACAUACUGUGUGGUAAACGUACUGUAAACCUUCAUCAGUUCCUUCUUUCGUUUUAAGAGAAUGUGAAUGUUCUACUGCACUCCAACGAUCCUGCUUUCUAGUAUCUGUUCUUCCCGUUGUUCUUCAUAGCCGCCGGCGGCGAGCUCCUUCAGACGAGGGAGCAGCGAAUAAUAUAUGUCGUGCUAAUUACAAUUUUACCUAUAUUAAAAAAUAGCCUAUAAUUUAUACUACCACCACGUAGUAUUGUCGUCAAACGUCAGAAUUGGUUCGUUUCUAUUCCGAGCAAGCUGUUCCUGGACUUUCUUCUUCAGUUCACCUUUCUUGCGCCUUUGUUCCUGUCUUUCUUCCUCCUCUAUCUUUUCCCUGGUCUUAGUAUCUUUAGCAGCUAUUAUCCUUCCAUAAUCCCAGCUAAUGUAAACACUGAGCUGGACCUCGUUGAUGCUUUGGAGAAAUUCUAGCCCAGAAAAUCCAAUCUCAUUAUUUGCUGCCCCUGUGACCUGCAGCCGCUCAAGUUUGGGCAUUAUUCCUUGUUCAAACUUUACCGAUUUGAUGUCCAGCAUGUUUGCAAGCAUGAGCACCCUGAGGCUUCCGAAAGCUCUUCCAGUCUGCUGAGAUCGGAAACGAAGUUCUUCACCCUGAAACGAUUGACGAGACAAGCUUAGAAUUUCCAGCUUUGACAGUUUCCCAAGGAAUUCCAUAGCAUCAUCGUGCUCCAAUAGCCUGGUGCUCACUAGUUUCAACUUCACGAGAUGCGGGAGCUGCUUGAUCCAUUGCGGCAACGUUUCCAUAUUGCCAUAGAGCUUGAGGCUCUGCAGGUUUUCUGGAGGCGGGGAUAUAGCAUCCAAGCAGCCAUGCAAACCUGGCUUCCCUGACGAACUCACAGAUAGUGAUUCCAGCCUGCUGAGCUUGGAAAUGGCAGCGCGAAAAGCUGGGCCAUUCUUCCUGUUGAUGCCGGUGACUCCUAACUUGCGCAAUCCAGUGAGCAUUUUGAUGUCCUGUAGAACGGCAUUUCCCCUUCCGACAUUCACUUCCCGCAAUGUGUGCAACUCUUUCAGUUUUCUUGUCCCCCUUGGCACCAUAGCGCCUAUUUCUUCAUAAAACCCCAUCAUGACAGCAGGGAAUCGCACGCAGCAAGCGAAAGUGCAUGCAUCAAUGUCCCAAUGAACAGGUACGCAACAUGUUGCACAUUGACCCGCCCCCCAAAGACACCUCCUGGUUAAACUGUUCUUUUCCUCUAUUACAUAAUCUCUUUUCGGACCAGCAUAGAUGUACUGUAGCUUCCGAAGCUUGAUGAUGGUUUUGGGCAGAGCC
rnacentral:lncRNA from 1 species